GCUAGAAAAGGCGAAAACCGAGGAUUGAAAAGGAUCAGCAGUCAAUUUUAGAUGGCAGACACAAGCAACCAAAAGGAGCAAGAAGGCGGGAGGGGGCCUUUUUGUUGAUGGACAAUAGUUUGUGUUUAUUGUAUUUGGUUGUCGUGUAGACCUUUCAAGGUUUCCAUACCGCAUCUUCUAUGUGAUAUACAAUCCAAGAGGCUGUUUGGGAUGAUAAUUCAUCUUUCGGCACACAUUGUUUUAACAUAUUUGUAUCAACAUGGGAGCAUUGCGGAUGGCUUUUCCAAAAGCAUUUUUACUCUGAAACUGCCAAGGAUCAGUUAAGGACAGAUAAUGCGUGUUUGUAUUUUAUGUUUAUGUCCUGUUUCAUUCCCUAUACUAUUGUAACCGACUUUCCUGACGAUUACUCAGUCUACUCUAGCAGUAUUGCAAUAGUGUGUUCAAAUAUCCCGUUUGCUUCUCAUCCACAUCGAGAGAGCACAUUCUUCUGAUUCGGUUGAAGAUUGUGUUCAUAACAUGCUGAGCGAAUGCAUUUGUUAUUCAGCUCGUCCAAUUUCAGCCUUUUCACAACUGGCCUUGGAGAUAUCAAUAGAACUAACCAGUUUAGGGCACUGACUUGUGAUAUCCAAAGCCUCUGCUCUCAGAAACAAAUUCAGAGAAUAAUUUUUUAAAUUGACUUUCCUAGCUUAUGGGCUGGCAUUGCUGAGAGCCUACGAAGGUCUCUGCGCCGUCCUCGACGGCGAACAUGGCGGCCCACGAGGGUCACCGCGACCGAGCUCGGCGGCAGCGGCCAACAUCGGCGAUAGGUGGCGAGCACGACGGCUGAGAUCCACCCACCCCGUCUUUCCUGUACAGAUAGGCUUCGUCGUUUGAUCUUGAGCCCGUUAAUGCUUCUUCCUCUUGUGUUUUCUGGAGGAAUUGAGGAAACCAUCCAUUCCUCGUCGUGUUCCCUUCUUCAUCCGUUCCGAACGCUGAUCCAUCGACAGCCGAACAUCAGGAAAAACCAGCAGAAUCCAUGCUUAGGAUCGACGCCAUUCCUGUGCCUACACCGAUCCGGCUUUGAUCACCACGCCGCCAUCCUAGUCUUUAUUAGCGGCCGCCGGAACUGCACUGCGCCACGCCACGCACCUGCGAUUUCCAUCUUCCCUCCCCUCCUCUCGCGGUCUCGCCGGGAAAACCAAACCCGCCGAGACCUUCGAUUUCCAUCGUCCCUCCCCUUCUCUCGCCGGGAACGAAAUUCAUCGACAGCAUGGCUGCGGAGGACCGCGGCUUCCGCACUCGCGACGACGCGUCGUCGAUCGCCCUCCUGAGUAGCAUCCGCUCCGGAGUCGCCGACUUCAGCUUCGUCCACCGCGCCGAUGUCUGCUCCGCCGCCCCCGCGGACCUCGUCGCCAACCUGGAGCCGGUGCCGGGCACCGAUCUCGACAAAGGCGGCUACAACGCCAUCUGGUACUUGUACUGCCCCAAGCGAUUCAAGAAUGCCAAAGGGGACCACAGCGGGCACAGGCAGCGAUCGAUUGCCGGCGGCGAUACCUGCUGGCACUCGGAGUCCAGCCCGAAGCCCGUCAAGGGUCUGGACGGCGCCACCGUCCGCAAUCUGUCCUACGGUCGCAAAGAAGGAUCCAGCAGAUCGUUUAACCGCAUGGGAUGGUGUAUGCUUGAAUACGAUGACCAGCACGGCGGCGGCGGCGACGACCACGUCCUCUGCAAGAUUUACCGCUCCUCUUCAUCCCUCGCUAGAGCCAAGUCGAAGCCGACGAACCAGCGCUUGUCCGGCUGCAAGAGGAAGGCGACGAGCGACCACGCUCAGUCCCUGCCAUCGAAGAUGAGUCACGCGCAGGCCUGCUCCUUCGUCGAUCUGGACUUCUUGGAUCAUGUGCAGCAGCCCUUGUUUACUGACGACAAGAUGGCGAUGCUUGAGUCCCUGUUUCCAGCCGAAGAGGAACAGUUUCAGCACAACACCCAGCCCCUGUUGCCGGCCGAAGAGCAGCAGUUUCUUCAGCACAACACCCAGUCCCUGUUGCCGGCCGAAGAGCAGCAGUUUCAGUUUGAGGACAGCACCCGGUUCACCAUCGGCGAGUUGUUGGGCUACGACGAGAACGUGGACGAGUUCAUGAUGAGCAGAUGCUGCGGCACGCCGACAGCAACGGCACCACCAGAUGCCGGCUUGUUUGAGGGCCUCGCCUUCUGAUGUGCAGCACUGGCUAGAACUAGCUGAUGCAUGUGUGCUAAUUAGCUUCGCGCAAGUUUGGCGUAGCUUAGUACGUAAACACAAGGGCACCAUCGGUGCGAUGUAAGAUGACUCAAUGUCAAGCUGUUGUUUUCGGGGAGGAGCGCCCGUAGUCAUUGCCCUGGGGAUGUAGGCCGCAUUGGCCGAACCUCGUUAACAAAUAUCGUGUCUUGAUGUCAUUCUCCUACGUGGUUCUUUGAGCUACGCGUUUAUUUGUGUUGCUGUCAUGUUCUGAGGCUACCAAUGUGUCUGUAUUAUCCGUGGCAUUCUAAGAUGGAUUUCUGAUGUGCUUAAAGACACAGGGCUAGAAAUUAUAUAGUUCAUGAUGAGAGGUAAGUUGAGAAACGCCAUGUUCAAAUAAUAUUCAGCUGAGUUUCAACCCCCAACCUUUAUUUUGUGUUUGGGGUGUUUGUUGGAGCUGAAGGUGGCCAGUGCAAGCGGUGGCGUCACGGGAGGCCCGGCCUUCUAUCAUUUUUUGGGGGUACCAUUAUCAUCUAGUUGUGAUCCGUGGUGAGAUUACCGAUAUCACGUGUUGUUUCAGCAGUGAAAAAUGCAAAAACAAUCGAUCAGGUCUAGCAUCCAAGCAACGCUAAGAUAUUAACUGGAAGAUCUGAGUUGGAUUUUCUCUAUUUCUGGAUUGUCUUAAGAAUCCUCAUCAGAGGAGAUAUAAGAAAAGAGUCUUCGUAACAUCGAUUACUCAGAGUGAGAUGUGUGGCUUGUCAAGGCAUGGUGACCUGAACAUCUUUGAUCAGACCGAGACAUACAAACAGCAAUCCUCGUUUUGCAGAGACCAACAUACAUCAUUCAUGUCUGAUCUCUGAUAAUUCAUAAAAAGGUAUAGAAGGCAAAUUUUCUGCUCCGAAAGCAUGAAGUGAUCCCUCUAGUUCAGUAUCCCUGCACGUGACUACUUCCAAGCGGAGCACUGAAGUGAAUCAAGAGAAGCAGGAUCUGAUCAAGAAAAUUGAAUACCUUGCCUCUGCAGCCAUACAUUAACAGUCUGACCGCACAUAGACAUGUCAAGAUGGCAGGACGUAGUAGUUCAUAAAUUUGUUUACUUCGUUAAUGAAAAUCAGAUACAAGAUGAAUAGCAUAGGAACAACACAUUCAGCAAAAGUUCCGCAGACACAUACAUGUGCCUGCACUGUAAAAUAACGGAGGCAAAGCAUUCCACAUCAUAAUGAUAAACCAUUUAACAAAGAAGUACUGAAACUCGACAGAGAGGAGGGGCCACCAUGUUGUGUGAAAUAAUGCACUGAUAAACCAAGACUUGUGUACAAUAAUCCAUUUGCAAGUUGGAGACAUAAGUAGUGAUAUGCAGCUCAAGCUGCAGUUACACAUCAGCAAAAUUCUCUGUAACAUGGUUUUACCCAAGAAGUUAGACGCCUGCAGUACAUCUUCAAUUAUGUUGUGAGCAACAGAUACACGAGGCCUUUCAAAUAUUCAACUAUCUCAGAUCCACCAAGUUUCGAAAUUCCAAACACUCUGUCGACAAACGUUAUUGGAACCUGGAGAGGAGAGGGCAAUCAAAAUUUCAUUUACCACUGCCAAGAGAUGAUCCAAUGCUCCUAUUGCACGAAUGAAAAAUCAGACAACACAGUAGUACCUCUUCAAUGUGGUAACCUUUCCUGGUAGCCCUAACAAUCAUCUCCAUCUGGAACACAUAGCCCUUGCUGACACAUGAGGAGAUUAAAUCUUCCAGGACAUCUCGUUUAUAUAGCCUAUUAUGAAAUAAUAUUCAUCAAAAGACAGUGAUUGAAAGGUGUCUGUUCUGUUCAAGAUAAAAGAAGGCACACCUAAACGAUCCAGUUAAGUCUGAAGCUCCAGGCUGUAGUAACGUCUGUGCAAGAACAUUUGCCCCUCUGCUAGUUAGCUUGCGCAUGAGAUUCCAACCAUGAACACCACCAUUCUUAACAUAACGUGUGCCGGUUACAACGUCAGCACCAGUUUCCUUUUGUUUCCUGGUUAAGGAAAGAACAUGAUUACAAAAAGACACAUUCUUCAAGGCUAAUUCAUAUCAGUAGCCUCAGUGAAGGGCCCAAAGUGACUAUUGGAUUAAAAAACCUAUGACAAUAUUAUCUUUUUGUGACUAUAGAUAUUUUCGGAUCAGUCAGACUGAGAAUUAUCAGCACACAAAAUUAGAUUGAGGAUGUGGAUUAAUAUCUGUAAAAUAAUAUGCAGUAGAAUCCAAUAACUCUUAUGUCUUCCGAGAUAAGAGUCUUACCUAAUAAAGCUUGGCAAGUACUUUGGCUGUUCAGAGUGGGGAAAAAUAGUCAGCAAGCUAGGAAGAAAAAUAUUCAGAAUAGCAAAAGGUGUAAAAACAAAGCAAACGGUGAGAGAUUUAUACAUGGUGAGAUAGGUCCGCAUCCAUGAUAACAACAAAUUCCCCUGAGGCAUGCUUUAAUCCAUGCAAAUAUGCGGUACCUGGAUAUUUGCAGUUGCUACUUAAUACAAAUGGAUGGCAUAAAUUCAUUAAAACAUAAAUCAGAGUUCUAAACUCACCAAGUCCUAGCUUCCUAGGCCUAGCUCGCAGUAACUGGCAUCGUGUCAGGCCAAAGACAAUGCAUUAAGCCAUGGUACCAAAUUAAAAAGGGAAAAAAUGAGACCACAUAUACAAAAACUUCAAGCUGACUGGGAGCAUAUUUUAGAAGAUACUUACAACACGAUCUUCACCAUACACUUGCUGCAAUUGUUUUACAAUGUCUUGAGUUCCAUCUGGACUACCAUCAUCCACAAUAAUGAUCUCAAAGUUCACAUCCCUGAGGUCGAAAAUUUGAACUCAGGUUUUAUGAUAUGUAAGAAUUUGGCAACAUACCUAUAUGAAUGAGUUUUUCUGUUUCACGAAAGUAGCAAGCUUCCAGCAAACAAUGAAACUUAAAUAAUGCCGGUGUAAUGCAUGAUGUCAUUCUAAGAUGGCUAUUCUAAAAAAAGAGAUAUGGAACAAGCCAAGACUUGCAAUACCUAAUAGUGCAUCAGGAGAGCUUCUCAUGACCUAUUUGGCAUAGCUGAUAAACUCAUAACAUGAUUUUCAAGUUUUUGUUAGUCUAAUAGCGCGAAUUAGGCACACCCAGCAGGUCAGUACUAGGAUGAAGGGUGUCUAUGACCUGUACGGUCCAAAAUAUGCAAGUAGAAAUGAAAACUGCUGAAUGAAUAAUCUCUUUUUAUAGCAGGACCAUAGCAUCAUUAUGACAGUUCAAGACUUCGAUAAGCAAGCAAACUCUACCUUUAAUAUUGUCAAAAUAGCACUAGAAAUCUUUUCAUUUGUUGUUCUCAGAAAAGCAAGUGGACAGUGAUAGCUUCAACAUUAGUGGCAUGGUUAGAACUCUGUAACUCUAAACAGAAAGAUGCGCAAGCAGAGCUCAAGGGAGGGCUGGUUAAUGGCCACAUGGUGGAGUUUUAAUUGCAUGAACGACAGGACAUAAAGGUGCUCUAUCAUCAAUUUGAAUGCAUCAUGGACUGAUAAGCGAUUCUACUUUACAUAAUUCACAUGUGCCUGCAGUCGGAUCUCAGAGCAAAAGGUUGUUAAACAGAUAGGGGUAAUUCCAUUCACACAGCCAGAUCAGAUCUAGUGCGGUUAGGCGCUAAUUUUGUUCCGAUUUAAUCAUACGGAACCGAAUCGCACCUAACGAAUUCGAAUCCGACGAUGUUGUCUACCAAGGCGAUCUCGACACAACCGUGACAACUGAGGAGGGACAGAUCAGCGGCAGACGGCAGGCGGAUUGUGCUUACGGGAGGUGCUUGAAGAUGAGGUAGACGAUGAGGGCGACGUUGAGGCGCUCGUUGUAGGUGGGCACGAUGAUGCUGUACGCGCGCUUGCUGCCCGCCGCCGCCUCCAUUGACGGCUCGGACGGACCCAGCGGCGGAUCUCUCCCGCUCAGGCGAGCGCUCCGCAGGGGGACUAAUCAACGGCCGGGAGCGGUGGAGCGAGUAGCCGCGGAAGUGACCCUGACCCUCCUUGUCGCCGCAGCCGCCGUUGCAGAGGACCGACGAGGCGGCGAGAUGAACGAGGCCGUGCAGCCUUCGCCGGAGCGAACGAACGAUUUGGGUUGCGCUAGGACGGCUGGGCCCAAAAGUCCCAAGCCAGCUUUGUGGCCCAGGCCAAGCCCACGAAUGCGUAACAUGCAAGCAUCGGCCCAUGGUUUGGGCCAGGAAGAAGGAAAGUCUAUUUUAAAAUUUUGAUAAAAGUCUAUUAUAGAGAAUUUUACUGAUGCAUCAUCGCUCGAAGCUCGAGUUGUGUGAAAGUGCACGUGGUUUCCAGUUUAUGAUUGGAGCACACAAGUUUGGGCUCGAGGGAAGUGCAUGUUUGUAGUCUCUGCUCUUAAGGCCUCAUCUGCAGGACUGGAGCAGAUAUGAUCGUCAGACCUGAUGGCCAAAGCUCUGCUGCAUCGUCUGAAUCGGCCGGCACUGAACAGAACGACGGCGAGGCCGGCGGGCGGCGCACAAAUUCAGAGAACGCGGCAGAGAGGACCACAUCGGAGAGGUUCCGAGGAAGCCAUCGUCUGUGGCCAUGAGGACUUGAAAUAUCUGCUUCAAAUCUUCAACCUAAUUUUGUACUGAAUCGUCUGUGCCAUGAGGAGUAGUUAUUAGAGAUGUUGUUGUAUUCUUGUAACACAGAUGCUAGUACAAAUCUUCAACCUAAUUUUGUACUGAAUAUAUUCAGUCUGGUUCGUCUGAAAAUUUCUUCAUCAGUUUGCUGCCAUCUUGGCUGAAAUUACACUUAAGCAAUGCUCGAUCAUUUAGCCCUUCACCAAAUUGAAAUGAGAUAGCUUAAAAGAAUUCAUAUGUCUAAUCAUGCUAAGAAUGGUGGUAUCCAUGGUUCCCUCUCAUGCACAAGGUGACUUCUGACUUGCAUGGCAGCAAAUGUUCUUGCACAGACGUUACUGCAGCCUGGAGCGUCAGACUUGACUUGAUCAUUUAGGUGUCCCUUCUCUUACUUGAAUAGAUAGGCUCCACAGUUACUGUUAACUGGAAAGGAAAUCGCAUUGCAGAGGUAAGCCAUUUCAUGCUGUCUCAUGCCAUCCUCUAACGUGUAAGAUUAGAUUCAUUAUUCAUCCCAUGGCUCUAAUGGAUGAACUUCACAACUCUGGUGGUUCUGAGAUUGUAGAAUAUCUGAAAAAGCCUUGUUUAUCUUUUGCUCGCAACAUAAUAAGGAAAGUUAUACACUUCUCGUGGACAAUCAUAACAUAGCUGUAUCACUGCAGGUCUGCACUCUGCAGCUUUAGUUAGACGAGAACUACUGAAGAAAAAAUGCUGACAUACAGAAGUAACAACCAAAUAAUAUUUUGCAAGUUAAGGACAACUGAUGGAAAGUUGGGCUGGUUGAGAAGGUGUUACAUGGACAGGACUGGGUGAAACUGCUUCGGCUGGUUGGGUUGUUUGAGCUGGUUGGGUUGUUUGUUUGAUCCAAUGUAGUGUGAUGUAUGUACACGUGGCUUGAUCUCUGUUCAAAUGGUAGCGUAGCGCCUGCUGCCUGCCUCAGUCUCCCUGACCAGACUGAAGCCUCGAUCCUGCACCGGCCACGAGAAUUGAACACCAACGGUUUGGCAUUUUCGGCUCCAACAACACGCAGAACAGUUCGUGCAUCGAUCCGUCUUCCAUUUGGGGGUGCAAAUCGAGCAAGGAUGUGGCAUUUUGUCUUGGGAGUUUCAGAUUGUUCGCGCUUGACGUGCUUGGCAUCCAGCUUUCCUCGAUCGCAUGCUUAAUCGGAACACAGAAACGCCAAAAUCACAGUGGCGGGUUGAAUCUUGUUGCCUCCAAGUUUCUUAUUUGAUGGACAAGCUUGUGCCUCCAACGAAUUAGCACAAUUCUGCUGCAGAUUACUCCGGAGUAAUUCAGUGUCGUCGUCUGAAGAUCUUUUUCUUUUUGAAACCAGCUGUCUGAAGAUUAAUUGAGAUAAUGACUGUGCAAAGAUGAGGACGACUCAAUGGAGCAAGCUUUGUGACGAGUAUGUUGUUGUUGUUGUUCGUCACUGGGUGCAGAUAACUUCUCUUUGCGACAAGUAUGCUGUUGUUCGUCAGAUACCAGCCUCUGUUCAAAUGGUAGCGCCCGCCUCAGUCUCCCUGACCACUCUGAAAGUCUCGAACCUGCAACGCAAAGCAUCCCGCCGUUGCUGCGGCCGCGCCCUCUGGCCCACCGUCCUCUUCGACCCUGCGCAGCAAUGGAAGUUGGAGCAGUCGGCAACGCUGGCGGCGGCGACGAGGUAGGAGCCGGCGGCCCCACGGACGCCAGGCCAGAGCGCGCGAGGACUCUGAACGAAGUGGCGGCGAACCGGAGUUCGCAGCGGCGAGCUCGCGGGGGAUUUCACCGCCGCGCGUGCACCCGGCAUGGCCGUCCGUCCUCCGCCAUGGCGCUGGCGCCAUCCAGCACCCGCACGGCCGCGCAUGCCUGACGAGGACGGCCGACUCCUCCGAGGGCAAAUCCGCCCAAUCUGGACCGCACGAGUCGAAUCCAACGGCCGACAGGGCCCAGGGGUGGACGGUAUUUGAAAUACCGUCGUCCCCCGGCCGGUCAGUAUCUGCGUGCCGUGGGUUGCCGGAGAGGCGGAGAGCCGCCGCACCCCGGGCGUUGGUUGCCUCCGGCUACUUCCUCUUGGAACAGGUCAGCAUCCGUGGCAUCCCCUGCUUGCACCGUGCCAACCAUGGCCAACAAGCGUGAGCAGUCGUGCCGCGUGAGCUCCGCGUCCACGGCACGCAGUGGCUCGCCGGAGCGCCGGCGCCGUUGUGGCUAGCGCGCACGUCGUACAAGCAACAUGGACCGGCCAUGAACACGCAGAACGAUUCCUAGUUCCAACUCAAUGCAUGGUUGUGAGUUGGAACUAGGAAUUCGCCUUUGUACUGUGUUAUCAAACUCUUGAAAUAAGAGGCGACCGUCAAGUUUCAGUUCUAAUAACACGUUGACUUGGGCCUACCAAAGCUUGUCAUUCCAAUUAGCACAAUACUGCUGCAGAUUAGUAAGUAUCAGUCGUUAGUUCCGGAGAUGGAAGUGCUGUUUUGCGAAGUGAAACAUACUUCAGUCUCACUGUAUGAAGAUCUCUUUUCUUUUUUGGACCACUGGUCUGAAGAUUAAUUGAGAUAAUAACCGUAAAAAAAAAUACUCCCUCCGUUCCAAAUUGUAGGUCAUUUUAACUUUUUUAGCUUCAUAGAUAUUAUUAUGCGCUUCAUAGAUAUUAUUAUGCAUCUAGACAUAUGCAUAAUAAUACCUAUAAAUUUAGAAAAGCCAAAACAAUCUACAAUUUGGAACGGAAGAGUACUUCUCAAGCUCUGGAUCUGAGGUUUCAAGCCGAACAUCAUAAAAAAUUCAUUGAUCUUGUGACAAAUAUGUUGCUUUUCUCGUCAGAUUGUGAGUUGGAACUGGGAAUUCGCCUUGUCCUGUGUUAUCUGACAGAAAGGGCGACUGUAUCAGUUCUAACUUCUAACGCUGAUAUGCCGUUACUAAAGCGAGCUGCUGUAUGUGGAAUUCUUUGCAACGUAACUGUGCUCCAGAGUCCAGACUCUAGAGUGCAAAUAAAACAAAUUUUCUAAACAAUAUACCUGAUGCUGGCAUUCCUGUAGCUGAUCUCGUACAGGGCACAAGAAAAGUAUUAUUUCCUCUCAUAUUCAAAUAAUCGAACUCUCAAAGCAACAGAUCCAUAUCAAAACACGGAAUCCAAAUGCAGCGCGAUAGGAUUCAAUAGUACAAUAUAUACACACACAACGAGAACACAAGAUAACAAUUUAAGCUACCAAAAUAAAAAGGUUCAAUACUUUCUGGUCUAAACCUGUUUGGUUCACACCUUCAACCAAUCAGGUUGGGCUGAUUCUUGUACUCUGAGUGUCCAUGGCAAGUCAGAAAUCAACUGUUACAUUUCAUCCAAACACAAUUUGCAAAGGAUUUUUUGAUCUUUUUUCAGAACUGAAGACUCCAAACUGACGAGGCCAUGAACUGCUAUGAACCCUUGUGCCAAAGGGAUUUGAAAGGCAACUGAGAGAACCAAGACUCAGAUUUAGGAGAUUUAGGGGACGCACUUGUACCAGUAUGCGGAUCUCGCCAAAACUUGAGAACAAAAAGGCUCUCCUCCUCAGUACAUCUUUUCAAGACAACACGUGAUGCAUACCCCAUCUCGCUCAUCAGAUGACAUAUGUCCAAAGGAUCAUUAUCUUCGAGGGCCACCAUGUACAGCCACCCUCUUUCUGAUAGGAUCUCUCGCACAGCAGGAAGGAUCCUGUCUAUCACCUGGCGCCCAUUCAACCCUCCAGCCCAAGACGAAGCAAUGCCCUUGCAUCUAAUUUCUUCCUCUGGAGUUGGCACAUAAGGAGGGUUAAUAACUACCACAUCAACCAUACCAGCUAGAUGUUUCUCAAGACCAGACACGAUAUCAGUAACAAUCACAUCCGCAUGCACGCCAUGGGCUUCAAGGGUUGCUUGAGUUGUCUCGGCAGCAUGUUUGUUGAUAUCAGUCGCUAGGUACUGGGUUCCAGAGGCUAAUUGCCUGAGCAUGAUUGCAAGAGAGGUAAUGACAUAACCACUCCCGCACCCUACCUCCAUACAUAACCUUGGCUGCAGCGUCAAAAGUUGUGCUUUGUCUGAGAGCAGUGCAUCAACAAGGGCAAAGGAAUCAUCACAUGGCUCAUACACCUCUGGAUGGCUUGCGACAAGCGGAAUCUGUGCAGUGUUUAAUGUCCUUCCGGAAAGAGACUGCAAAACCAAGUUCUUAUCAUGAAAACUGGACCAUACAUUCCCUAAAAUACAUAUUUAUCAUCACAAAUUUCUGUAUCUAUCUGUUUAAAGCAAGCACAAUCAGUUAGAUGUAACAAACCAACACAUGACAGAAUCGAUAUAUUGCUUGUUAGCACUCUGAGCUCUAACAACAAGCAGUAAAAAAAAGCACUUAAGCUGAAUGCCACAUAUAUCAGAGCUAUUUUUGAGCAAAUCCUCUCACUGCCCUAACUAAAGGGGGUGCAUUGGAACAUAUCUCUCAUGUUGACCUCAUCCUCAUGCUAUUGCUAUCUCUUGCUGCCUAACCUAGAUUGUUGUAUUAUCCUAGACUGCUGUACAAUAUGACUUCAGCACUUGUCGAGAGAGAGUGUGCACAUGAUUGAUUCAGGGUGAAAUUUCCGAACUAAAUCCUAGGAUGGGGGAACAACGCUGCCCUACCGGGGAACUACCUCACCGGCGGCGGCGCAGCCAUGGCCACGGGAUAAUGAAAACGAGCUCGAUCCUGCAUCCCGCCACCUCCGCUAGAUUCCAAAUCAUGAGAUAAGAGGACUCGUACUCCGCUCCCAAACCCUCGACAUCUCCCUAUCUGGAACCAAAAACAUUGGGAGUGGGAAGUGCUCACCUUGCCCCUCCUGGGGAGCCCCUUCUCGGCGCCGCUGGCGGAGUGCUCCGUGAGCUUUCCCGACGCCGCCGCGCCGUCUCCGUCCGCCAUGGAACAGCAGGAGCCUGGGGGGUGAGAUGCUGCCGCGAUGUGGACCCCGUUGCUGGUGGCGGCGGGGCGGCGAGUUGGGGAAAAGAAAGAAAAGAAACGGAAGGGUCGCGGCGCGUCCGAGUCACCAGUCUUCUUAACCGAACCGACGGCUCGGACAGGUCAGGUUCAGGCCGCGACUCUAUCCACUUCCCGGAGGCAAAAAUCUCCCCCAAAAUCCAAGGCGUGGUGGAAUCCUAAACCCCUCCUCCCCCGCCGCCGGCGGCCGCCGCAUGCUCGCAUGGCGCUCGUCUCCACCGCCACCGUCGCGUCAUCGUCCUACCACUGCGACCUCCUCCUCUUCCCGACGGCCAGGAGGAGCUGGCACGGGCCGAGGAGGAGCCGCGGCGGCGCGGGCGCGAGGCUCGCGGUGCUGGAGCGUGCAGGCACGGGCAGCGGGCUCGCGGUGCUGGAGCGUGCGGGCGCUGGCUCUGGCGCGGGGCUCGCGGCUUUGGAGCGGGCAGGGGCCGCCACGGCUGCCGCGAGGAGGGAGGAGGUGGUGCCCGCGGGGAAUGGCAGGAACUCGUACGAGGUGGAGUCGCUGAUCGACCGGCUGAGCAACCUGCCGCCGCGGGGCUCCAUCGCGCGCUGCCUCGAGACGGCGCGGCACCGGCUGACGCUGCAGGACUUCGCGGCCGUUUACCGCGAGUUCUCCCGCCGCGGCGACUGGCAGCGCUCGCUGCGGCUCUUCAAGUAUAUGCAGCGCCAGUCGUGGUGCCGCCCCGACGAGCACAUCCACGCCAUCGUCAUCGGUGUUCUCGGGCGCCAGGGCCCCGCCCUGCUCGACAAGUGCCUCGAGGUAUUCCACGACCUUCCCGCCGAGUCCCGCACCGCGCUCUCCUACACCUCCCUCAUCGCCGCCUACGCGCGCAACGCGCUGCACGAGGAGGCUCGCGCAUUGCUCGACCAGAUGAAGGCCGCGGGGGUCGCGCCCACCGCUGCCACCUACAACACCGUGCUCGCGGCCUGCGCACGCGCCACUGACCCACUCGUCCCUUUCGACAUGCUCCUCGGCCUCUUCGCUGAGAUGCGGCACGACGUGUCCCCCUCCGUGCGCCCCGACCUCACCACCUACAACACCCUCCUCGCCGCUGCCGCCGUACGCUCUCUGGCUGAUCAAUCUGAAAUGCUGCUGCGCACCAUGCUUGAGGCCGGCGUCUCCCCGGACACUGUGUCUUAUCGCCACAUUGUGGAUGCUUUUGCAAGUGCCGGCAACCUCUCCCGUGUCGCUGAGCUGUUCUCUGAAAUGAUGGCCACGGGGCACACGCCAGAUGCCUCUGCAUAUCUGGGACUCAUGGAGGCACACACGCAUGUUGGUGCCACGGCUGAGGCAGUUGCUGUGCUGCGGCAGAUGCAAGCUGAUGGAUGUGCGCCAACAGCUGCCACUUACCGUGUCCUGCUCGAUCUCUAUGGAAGGCAGGGACGGUUUGAUGGAGUGCGCGAACUCUUCCGUGAGAUGAGAACUGCUGUACCGCCAGAUACGGCCACAUAUAAUGUGCUCUUCCGUGUAUUUGGGGAUGGUGGCUUCUUCAAGGAGGUGGUGGAGCUCUUCCAUGAUAUGCUUCAAACUGGGGUAGAGCCUGAUAUGGUGACCUGUGAAAAUGUCAUGGCUGCGUGUGGUCGCGGUGGCCUCCAUGAGGAUGCAAGAGAAGUUCUUGAAUAUAUGACCAGAGAAGGAAUGGUGCCUACUGCGGACGCCUAUACCGGCCUGGUUGAAGCUCUUGGCCAUGCGGCUAUGUAUGAGGUCAGGAUACUAACCCAGAUCUUAUUAGCAUGGCCCUAAGAUAUCCAAUUUCUAAUGAAAUGUUCAUUGCUGUUCUUUUUGGUAUGCAGGAAGCCUACGUCGCUUUCAACAUGAUGACUGAAAUCGGUAGCUUGCCAACUAUUGAGACCUACAAUGCUCUUGCAAAUGCAUAUGCUAAGGGUGGGCUGUUCCAGGAGGCUGAGGCCAUCUUUUCUCGGAUGACUAACAAUGCUGGCAUUCAGAAAAACAAAGAUUCAUUUGAUGCCCUCAUUGAAGCAUAUUGCCAGGGUGCACAAUUGGAUGAUGCAGUGAAGGCGUACAUGGAGAUGCGCAAGUCCAGGUUUAAUCCAGAUGAGCGCUCCCUUGAGGGGGUACUCAAUGCGUACUGCAUAGCGGGGGUCAUAGAUGAGAGCAAAGAGCAGUUUGAAGAACUUCAAUCUAGUGUGGCUGUGCCCAGCAUUAUUGCCUAUUGCAUGAUGUUGUCACUAUAUGCUAGGAACGACAGGUAGUGAUGAAGGACUACUUGUUUUAAUCUGCCAAACUGUCAUAUUCUCUCUGGAAGAUUGCUCUGGGUUUAUAACUGGAACAUUGAUGCUAACAAACAGCUCAUUGCAUUUUUUAACUGAGAGUUACAUUAUAUUAACAAUAUGUUAUUAGUUUCCUUAUCAAACUAACUGUUUUUUGGGGGAAAUAAGAAAGGAGAUUUAUGAGCUUCGGUUUGAUGUGCUUGCCAUCUAGAUUUUAGGUUGCUAAUCAAAGUUCAAACUAGCAAUAGGAACAGAAACUUCCAAUGCCAUCUAGAUUUUAGGUUGCUAAUCAAAGUUCAAACUAGCAAUUGGAACAUAAACUUCCAAUGUAAACAAUGACCCUAAGCCUCCAAAAAAUUUAGUGGGGCUGGGAGCUCUGGCCAAUACGCUGAUAGAAGUCAAAUGAGAUUUAGAUGAUAAUUUAUCAGAUCAGGGAUCCUGAUCCUUCUUCACCUCAACUAAUACAAUAAGCACUCAGUUUCAGAAGCUGUAGUUUUGUUGGUGUGUUGAAUCACACUUCUAGAUACCACUUGUUUCCAAUAUGGUGCUAUUGGGUAUGAAUUCACAUUUAUUCUAUGCUUUGGAAUAGAAAAGAUUUCUUCCCUUCUUUUGUGUGCCCUUUCUGGUACAGGAUUCUUAGGUUGGCCAGGGCAUGGCCUACAUUAUUCAGGGUUUCAGAACAUUGAUAAUAGACAAUCAUACAGUAGCUAUAGUUGUGUUUAUCAGUUUGAAUCAAAAAAUUGUUGAGGAGGCGAUCAAUGCUUUGGAUACAAGCAUUUUUGUGUUUACAUAACUUAGGAGUCGCUGAAAAUAUUUUCUUGUUUGGUGUCAAUUACAAUAACAUUGUUGUGAACCGCAUGUUCCCUGUUUCUACCCAAUGUGAUAGGACUACACCAUAAUCAAUUUUCAUUUUCAUUUUUGAACGAAUUAAUCAAUGUGCAUUUUUCAGGUGGACUGAUGCAUAUGAUCUGCUGGAAGAAAUGAAAACAAAUCGUGCUAGUAGUACGCAUCAAGUAAUUGCUUCCCUAAUCAAAGGGGAGUACGAUGAUAGCUCCAACUGGCAAAUGGUUGAAUAUGCCUUGGAAAACAGUACUUUGGAAGGCUGUGACUAUAGUAUACGAUUCUUUAAUGCUCUCCUUGAUGUGCUUUGGUGGUUUGGUCAGAAGGCCCGAGCUGCGAGGGUUCUGGAUCAAGCAGUAAAAUUUGGGCUCUUUCCUGAAUUAUAUCGUGACACCAAGCUGGUCUGGUCACUAGAUGUACAUAGGUAAUGCUAUAUCUCUCGUUCAUAGUAUUUACCUUAAGCAACCAGAUUUUCUAUUUGCCAGGAUGUACUCAUUAUUAGCUUGCAUUUCAGGAUGUCGGUAGGUGGAGCACUGGUGGCUGUGUCAGUAUGGCUCAAUAAGCUUUAUGACAGACUAAAAGGAGAUGAAGAUCUUCCACAGUUGGCAUCUGUUGUUGUAUUGUAAGCUUUUAGCCUAAGAUUCAAAUGUUCCUUUCGUAUUAUUGCCUUGUGUUGCUAUGUUAUGGUAUAUUCUUGAAUUGCCUCAAUAAUGCUAUUCAGUCGUUUUGGUUCAUAUAUUCACAGAAGUGCAAAUUGAUUUUAAGCUAAUUUCGAUAGUGUUGAACUUUACAUGAAGAGAGGGCAUUUGAGGGCAUAACUGAAUAUUUUUGCUGCAAGUGAAACUGAAGGCCAAACUUUUUCAUAGGAUAACAAUACUUCAUAGGCAUUAUUUCAUUUUUUUAUUCUCAUAAAAUAAUAUGUAACUGUUUGCACUGUUAUCAAUUUAAGUGAAUAUUUCCCUUCUUGAUUCAAGAAAAGAAAAUAUUUUUCCUUAUAGACUGUUUUGGUCUGUCUGACGGUUCUUCUAUAUCCACUUAUCCAGGAGGGGAGAAAUGGAGAAAAGCACGAUUACAAGAGGACUGCCAACUGCAAAAGUUGUCUACUCCUUUCUAAAUGACACACUAUCAGCAUCCUUCCAUUUUCCAAAAUGGAAUAAGGGGCGAAUCAUAUGCCUGAAGUCCCAACUGAAAAAGUUGCAAUCAGCCAUAGAUUCCUCAAAUGGAUCUGCCACAGCUGGUUUCAUCCCCAUGACGAACUCCCAUUUGCCAUCACCUGGUUCCAAGAUAUAUACUAGGGAGGCCCAGGCUGAUAAUGGCACCGGCCAUUUACCUGACGAACCAUUGGUAGAGGAAAAGGAGUCAGAGCUUCUUGCAUUGUGAGUUUCCAGGAGCUGCUACCCUUCGCAUUAGCAAUCGUGAUGCCAUCAGUCUGAACAGGGGAGUUGAGAUGCAGAAUAACAGCCAUAUUUUUGGAGUUUGGGCAUUCAGAUCUUCAUCUCAGUACUAUGGCACGACCAUAUGCCUAUUUGCAUUGUGCAGUUUGCUUCAGGAAGUUUAGUAUAUGCAGUGGAUGUGGAUACCAUUUCAGAUCCACAUGGUUGCCUGAAUUUUGCCCGUAAAUGGUGAGCCCCUAGUUACUGCAAGCUUGACAGACAAUGCUGAACUUCCAGUUGCAUUUCAGGAUUUAGCUCGUUGUAGGGAGGAGAAUGAGAUUAUGGAUGUUUCUGUUAGUUGCUCACUUGCUCUGUAUAACAUCCAUGUACUCCUAGCGCAACUCUGUAAAACAUGAUAGCCUCGUUAGCCUGGUAAGGGACUGUUAGUGAGACAUGUCAAUUGUCGAUAAGUUCUGGAUCCUGAUGGAAAUAGUGCAUGUAGUGUGAUUUUACUCUUAAAAGGGCAAUUGCCACCUGAAUUUUUUUGUUGCCGUUUUUACGCUGCCGUUGCUUUGUUCAGACGAGGAAGAACUGGGAAAUCUUUCCACUGUCAUGUGGAGUAGCCCCUACAGAAGCCACUGGCGUGUGGGGCCAGACCUUUCGAUUUGUUACUCCAAACUACGCCUUCACCAGCCGUCGUUGCAACCGCGCAGGGUACUCAACCCAGGGAGCCACCACCUACCAGAGGCGGAAGCGACGGCGCCGCCGGAGAUGGAGACGGAGGCGGCUGCGGCGAGGCAGGCGAAGGAGUCUCUGGAGCUGGCGUUCCAGCUGUCCCAGAUCCUCGACACCGGCCUCGACCGCCACACCCUGUCGCUGCUCAUGGCGCUCUGCGACCGCGGCGCCAACCCCGAGGCCCUCGCCGCCCUCGUCCGCGAGCUCUCCUCCGCCGCUCCCCCGGCCGCGGCGGCGGCGGCCCCCUCUCCCAUGAGCAACGGCACCGCGUCGCCGGCCCCGGCAACAGCGUCGCUGUUCCCCUCCGGCCUUCGCCGUCCCUAGGGUUUGUGAUAUCCCCUUCUUCCCCGAUGAGAUUACUCACCAGUAAUCAACUAGAUCCCACCAUAUGCAUCGAGCCGUUGUGAAUGACUGAAUAUGGCAUAUCCUUCGUUUGAGUAAUUUUGCGUCCUAGCUUGUGAUCCAUGUGUACUUCCUACAGUGAGUUACUAGUUCAGACUACAAAGAUGUGCUGCGUCCUGCAUUUGGAAUUAAGAUUCAAAUCACAAUGUAUUUGGGACGCAUAAUAAUUUUCAUAUGGCAUUUCUACAAACAAAGAACAGGUAUGGUGAGCUGUGGAGGCCGUUGCUUGUUUCUGUGGAACGAGAACAAUUGUGUUAGUUUCCAUCUCCUGUUCUUUAUGCCGUCCGUUUAGCUAUACCUUGAGUAGUGGAUUGCCACUAGGUGUUUUGCAGCAACUAGUAGAUUAAUCAUCUAUGUAGAAUGACAGCCCACCCAGUGUCCUAUUACCAAACGAAUUCAUGUUGUAGUAGAGUGCUCACCCACAAGUUACUCGAUCAGAAUCUAUAGAGUGCCACAACUUACUGGAUCGCCCUUGGAUAAUUGAUCAUAUGUAAAGGUGAAGAGCCGUUUGGUUGAUUAAUUUUGAUAUCAUUAUUUUUCCUGUGUUUUUUAAGCACAUGGCUGGCGCUCUGUCCAUCGAUUAAGUAGGAAGCAAGAGAGUUUUGUUUUUCUUGCCUUUAACCGGAGGAACCAAUAAUAAGACAAUAGUCAAAAUUGUUGUUGAUUGCAAUUGUAUAUUCCAUAUGCCGAGUUUGUUUGGAACAUGGAUAAUUGAGCAAUGUGAUGCAUAUGGUUUGUCUUUCUGCAUGUACCAUUUUCUUUUGUUUCCUUGUGCUGGAUAGGUCUAAUAAUCUGUUAUAUCACCAAAUGGUAACAUUGGGUUUCAAGUAGGUUGAUUCUUGUAAUUCUGGUGAAUGUUAACCAUGUAGCUCUUUGAUACCGAUACUGCUCAGGACGAAAUUAAACCUCAUAUCAUGAUGCUCUCACGCCACUAGGCAAUAGCCCUCAUACUGAGUACUGGCUGAUUUUAGAUUUAAAUCGUUUGGUGCAAUUUUUCUAAUUUCAGAUGAUGUGCCUUGCGCAGUCACUAAGAAUGGCUACUUUUCCUAUCUGCUCCUUCAACAUUAUCAUACAUUCCUACUGCUCGCGUUGUUUUGGAUUUGAAACUUAACCGAAUUUUAUCACAAACCUUCUUCUCUUGAUGUUGAUGAUGGUAUUUCUUGUAUUUGUGCUUAAGCAGGUUCUGUUAAAGACUGAAUGGAACAGAUUUCAUCAUUUGAAGAAAGCAAAUUUACUGUUGGAAUUGCUGGAUGAAAAGGAGUGCCUUAGAAUUGCAUUCGCACUGUUGUGGCUGUUGUUUGGACAAGAAAUCUGUGGUACUGAUUCACAGAGCUACUGAAAUUGACGUAUGCUUCGCGGGACAUGUGCGGGUUAACAGUUGUGAUCAUAAGGAGUCAUUUUCUUUUCAUUUCUCAUUAGAAUUACGUCCAUCAGUUGUAUGUAUCAGUUUCACGCUUGGUCUUCCCUUAAUUAUCCUCAGUUUGACAAUACCGCACCCCGCAUUGUCAUGUGCUUAUCCUUCGAGGGGGAGCGUGUCAUGGCUACGAUCGAACACUCACUUUCAGAUCGCAGUCAAAAGAGAGGAGGAUGACAAGCCGUCGCUGCGCCCGUGUCCCGUUAGAAGUGCAUCGUGAUGCCAUCAUCUUUCUUAAUGGUGCUCCACUUGUCCUAUUCUCGAUUUUCACUAUUAGUCGUCAUUACAAUGGUGAAAGUUUGAUACCAUCCGUGCAAGUUGGGGAAGCAUAAUUGAGCAGGUUUAUUUGAUCAACUCUUGCAAAGCUGUCCAGGUUCCAUGGAUCAAUUUCGUAUUGGUCAAUGAUUGCAAAGCCUUUUUAGAGAUGUUGCAAGUUUAUUUUAGUUUGAUCAGGUCAGGAAUUGUGGCUGAAUCUUAUAACAGAGCAAAAAACGUAUUCGAUCGAAUCUUUCGUUCAAUCCGGCAACCCACUAAGCUCUUAAAGAAAGCCGGCCUGGCCCGACCGGGCCUGGUUUCAGGUGGACCGGUCGUUCUGGACUGCCGAUCUGCCCCCCAAUGGCCCACUCGCGCAUUUUCAGGUCAUUUUUUUUUCUAGAGAAAGAAGAAAAAAAGAUUAGCAAGGAAGCGAAUGCGGUGUGGAGCUGCACGCACGGCGCGGGGUUAGGUCAAGCCGCGGUUGCGACGCGGUGGGCGAGCCGAACCAAGCGGCGAUUGAGGCGAAGGGGUGGCGAGCGUGGCGGCCGGAGAUGUCGCAGAAGAGGCAGCCGGAGGAGAGCGACGGCCCGCGCCGCGGCGGCGGCGGCGGAGAGGCUGGCGGGAGCUCGUCCUCCUCCUCCCUGCCUUACCGCCCCGGCGAGCCGAAGCGCCCGAGGGUCGCCCUCCGCGAGUAAGUUCGCCCUUCCCCCCUCACGGUCUCGAUUGGAAUCCCCCGGUUUGGAUUGUGCCGAUUAGUGGGCGUCGCUCUCUGAUUCGGGGCUGUGGUGGCUUCCUCUUCCUGCAGUGUGAUCACGGAGGUGAUGCGGAACACCAGCAUUGAGAAGUUCUUCAUGGCGAUCGAGCCCCUCAUCCGGAGAGUGGUGAGACCGCCUUUUAUUUCCGUUAUUAUGUGCUCCCAUUUCUCGAUUCCGUGGCUUGAAAUUUCAUAGGGUUUGGAUAUUUGGUAUGAUGUGCGCCCUUCAGACUGUAUUUCAUUUCUAUCAUUUGGUUGGUUAUUUUGACGAUCCAUAGUACUAUCUGUAUCUGCUGCUGAUUAUACCCGCGUAUUAGUUAUGGGUCAUUCAAUCAAUUGGCUAAUUGAGAAGUUGCAAACAUGCUUAAAUUACUUCAACCGUUCCCAAUUCUAUGUAUUGGAGCCCCUACGAUCCUGCAAAUUGGUUAAUAAUUACCAUGUUUUUGGUUUUUAUGUUACUGCAGCAAAUUCUUGUUUAACAUCCAAACUACUUCUUGGAGAAGCUAUGCUUUUAUCUGUAUCAUAUUAAUAGCUGUAUAGGCAACCCUACAAAAUAAAGCUUUGUUCCCUGUUUCUAUUUUGUGCCCAGCCAUUCCAAUUCAGAGAUAAUUUUACAGGGGACCACAGCCUAGGUUCGCCUUCAACCAUGUGUUACUUUAGCAAUCUACCGAUGGUUUUGAUAGUCUGUUCAUUUCUAGGUAAAAGAAGAAAUCGAGUCAGCAUUUGCGAAUCAUACCUCUAUGAUGGCAAGGUAUGGCGUUUUUUAACACUACUUUGACAACCACCAUGAUUUGUGUUGGUCUCUGUAUCGCUAAUGAGUUUUUUUUUAUUUUUUUAUUAGAAGUGUCACGGACACUCUCCCAUGUCCAUCAAAGAAUUUGAAGCUGCAGUUCAUGACUAAACUUUCUCUUCCAAUAUUUACUGGCUCUAAGAUUGAAGGAGAGGGCUCCUUAAGUAUAACCAUUGCUCUAGUCGACACUUUGACGAGACAAGUUGUAGCAUCAGGCAAGGAGUCCUUGAUGAAGGUUGAGAUUGUAGUUCUAGAGGGGGAUUUUGAAAGUGGAGAAGAUGAUGAUUGGACAGCUCAAGAAUUCAACAAUAACAUUGUUAAAGAAAGGGAAGGUAAAAGGCCCUUGAUUUCUGGAGAUGUGUAUGUUGGCCUUAUUGAUGGCAUUGGAACAGUAGGGGAACUUUCAUUCACAGAUAACUCCAGUUGGACACGGAGCAGAAAGUUCAGGCUAGGUGCAAGAACUGAGGAUGGUUGUUUCAACGGCAUUAGAGUACGGGAAGCAAAAACUGAAUCAUUUGUGGUUAAGGAUCAUCGAGGAGAAUGUGAGUUUCUGAUUUUCUCAAGUUUCAAUGCGCAAGCUCUCCUUUUACUUUCUUGCUCUGCUGGACUCAUGCUAGGCUUCUGAAUGAUUUGGUCUAGUGGCAUUUAAUUUAACAAUUGCAUGAAAAAUAUAAAAUGAAUUUCUUGUUGUCCUCUAGAGUCUAGACUUGGUUGAACAGUAUGUUUCCUUAAGUGAAGGAUUCUGAUAUCCCGCUGAUCUACCUUCUCUAACUGAAUGAUGUGACCUACUAUUUCUCCAUUGCCUUGAAUACUUUUAAAAUGAUAUAAUUUAAUUCAAUGUCUCCUCUUGACCAGUGUACAAGAAGCACCACCCACCAUUUCUUGAUGAUGAAGUAUGGCGCCUGGAGAAAAUUGGCAAGGAUGGUGCUUUUCACAAGCGUUUGAAUAGGGAGAGCAUCUGUACUGUUAAGGAUUUUCUCACUUUACUACAUCUUGAUGGUCCUAGGCUUCGGAAGGUAUUGUUCUGGUCUUCAUUUGUUCUGCUGCUCUGCAUGUUUGUUGCCUAUGGGUAGUUGCAGUUCAUCAAAGAUGUGUACUAUUAACCCCGCUCUAUGUUCAAAUCAUGCAGAUAUUAGGUGGCGGCAUGUCAACAAAGAUGUGGGAGGCCACCGUGGAGCAUGCAGAAACCUGUGUUUUAACUGACAAAGUGCAUUACUACUAUCCAGACAGUCUAAACAAAGCUGGUGUUGUAUUCAAUGUAGUUGGAGAAGUAAGAGGGUUAAUAUCUGAUAAAUUUGUUUCUGUUGAUGAUCUUACUGAAAAGGAGAAGGUAAUGUUCCAUCACUUUCUAAGUUCUUUUGAACAAGUUCACCUGGCUUCCUACACCCCCACCCAUUCUGACCUUGACCAUCUGUUUUUACAUGUUUUCUAUUUUCAGGCUGAAGCACGUGUGGCUGUGAAGCAAGCAUAUGAACACUGGAAGAAUGUCUUUACAUGUGACAACGGAACGCUUGUGGGUAAUCCUUCGCAGCUGUUCAAUAUGAGAUCUCUGUCUUUGCAUGAAAAUCAAUAUAACCCGUUUCCCACGCAAGUUUCUACUGAUGACUUUGGUUUGAGCCAUUCGCCUCUACCAUCACCUGACAUUUUCUCGAUGGAACCAUCGAGUUCCUUAGACCCUUGUGUACUGGAGACUGAGGUGGGCAAUGAAAAUCGAUUUCAGUCAGGGGUGCUCCCAGUUGGUGGCCACGAAGUGCCACAAGAGUCUCAAACACUGGAUAAGUUCUCCAACUCUUUGGUUUACGAGGACAGCAAUCAUCCCCCGUUCAGCGAUAUGUAUUAUGGCCCUGUAGAUCCCAGCAUAUCCUUUGACACACAGGAUCUUGGAGCUGCACUGAAAGGCUUCAUUGCAACCAUAUCGAAGCCUAAGGCUUACAGAGGGUGGAGGACACUGUCUUAUGUGCUAGGAUGGAUUUUCUAUACCAAGAGAAUUGUAGCAAGGAGAAAGAAAUAUGGGAAAUAAAUGUUUGAUCGAGGCUGUGUCUUUGCGUAGUUAAAUGGUGAAAUACAAGUGGAGAGGAGAUGAUGUACAUUAGAUUCGUUGGUUGUCUUCUCUUGUUUUGGGUGCAGUUGGUAAGCUCUGCUGGUUUCUUGUGCUGUAUAUGAGCAUUUUAUCAGCUAGGGUUCCGAUAUGAGGCUGUAAAUAAUCAGAUGAAGUUUUGUACAGGGUAAGGGAUGCGCAUACAUGUAAUGCACAAGUAUUGGUGAUGAAAAGCCGGGGUUUCGUUUUUGAUGCGACCCGUGUAUUCUGUAAAGCAUGCUGGAUAAAUCUGCACUGUGUUGCGUGCUGCUUUUUAUUGUAGGAAUCCAGUGUUGUGCUGUGCGUGGCAUAAAGGUAUCUUGAGUUGAGAUGCUACUCUAGGGUCAUAUCCCAUCCUAGGGCAGAGGUGGUAAAAAGUUCAUUUUUCACUCCUAGGGCAGAGCUUUCCCAUCAAGAGGCAUAUUCUUAUUCCCAUUGUUCUAGUUUUAUUGGGGCCUUUGUUUUGUUUGAGUAGAUAUGAACUUCCAAAAAUUGAGUAAAAAGGAAAAAGUAAAAGUCAAGUGAACAUCAAGGCCCCUAACUAUAAGCCGUACAAAGCACUCCUGCCCUUAAUGAAGGAGAAGGCGUCGAUUAGAGGCCCAGAGAGACGUUGGGAAACGAAAGCAUUAGUAAAGUACUACAGCAUAGUAUUGUAUAUAACCCUGAUGAUGCUCUCCCAUCAUCACCGAAAGAUGCAAGAAAACUCGAGAAAGACAGAGGUUUGGUUUGGGCAUUUGCAGGAGGAGCCAACGUCUUUAUUCUCUGAUGCACCCCCUGCCAGUCCCUGCGCCCGCCCAAGCACUAACAACAUGGCCGUGUGUGGUUUGUGUCAGGAUCAAGAUCAAACAGCGCACAAGCUUAUUACCUGCCCACAACCUCGUUUAAAUUACUACGUUUACAUGUAUAUAAACAUUUUUUUUGAAAGAUUCAUGUAUAUAAAUAUGAUAUCUGUGUCGGUCGGUCGAUUGAUUCCUUGCUGCUGAGAUGGAUGAAUGAAAUGGUGAAUGGAUCGUCCCCACCCCCAGGAAUAAACAAGAGGGAGGGACAUGGGGGAGGUUCCCAAGAUCCUUUCCUUGCAACUUUCGCCUUGCUUUCGCGACCUGCUCGAGCCCAUGUGGGGAUCACUCGUUCCCUGGGUCCUCCGAAUCGAGUGUCCAGGUCUCCGUGUGGGGUCCCUAAACCCUUAACCGUAACGUAAUAAUCUCUUCGCCUGGAAAAAAUGGCCGUCUAGAACAACCAUCAGUAAGGACACGUUCAUCAUGCCAAUGGAUCGUAUGCCAUCCGUAGUUCGUAGAUGGUCACAUGCUCGUGACGAGAGCAUCCAUCGAUGGCGUCCAGCGUGGUGCUCCCGUUUGCUCACCGGACCUCAGAGCCUCCCCCUCCCUCUCCGUUCACCCCGGCGGUUCGGAGCAAUCGAGUCCCGCGAGGACACCUGCGCGCAGCGAGCAUGAUGGUGUUGGCUAAAACAGCGUCCCCUCACCGCGCCGCCCGCAACAAACAAACCAACGGCCGCCCGGGUCCCAGCCACGCCGCCCGGCCUCUCAAACGGUCAAACUGGCGUGCGCGAGAGGCCCGUGUCUUUGAACGUACGCGCCCGGAGCAGAGGACGCUCGGAGCCAGCCAAAGGACCCGGGGUGGAAUGAAUGAUGGCCUGGCCGCAGUAACUCUCGGCAACCACCGCGCUGCGCGUAGUACGACACCCCCCGGCGGCAGGGGAUGCGGCCGUGCGUGCACAGAGGGGGAGCUGGUGAGGAUCACAUGGAGGGAGCCAGGCCAAAGAGCGUGCCCCCGAGUGGAGUGGAGCCGUGGAGGAGAGCCAGUUUGUCUGGCGCGGUGCGUGCGAGCACCCCUUCUUGCCCGGUCACAGAGGCGAGAGAGGGGCGGCCGUCGGUGAGCCGGCGCUGCGUGCCCGGGAAUACUUUACUCGGGUGCCGCUCGAUGCGCGUGGCAGCGGCCGCGUGAGUCACCGCUGCUCUGCGAGGCCGCGACCUCUGUUCCCUGCCGCGUUGGUGCGCUGCCUCUGCCUCCCCACCCACGACGCACCGCACCGCACCGACCGCUUCAAAUCGCGCGUCGCCACCAGGCGCCCGGCACCUCACUCCUCACUUCUCACUCCUCUUCACUUCACUCCUCGACUCCUCGCCUCGCUGCAGCUCGCUGCUGUCUCGCUAGCUCCCAGGAGAAGAGAGACAGAGACAGAGACAGAGAGGCAGGGAGACGGGAGAGGAAGCAACAAGCCAACGAACAAAGAGCUCCUGAGAUGGCGGCGCCGGCGCCGAAGCAGGAGGAGCUGCAGCCGCACGCCGUCAGGGACCAGCUCCCCGCCGUAUCCUACUGCCUCACAAGCCCGCCGCCAUGGCGUACGUCCUCUUUCUCUCCGCUCCUCCCACGCUAAUCCCCUCGUUCACAUUGCUCUGGUCCUGUACCCUGCCGCCGCCGCCGCCGGCUUCGCGCAUUGCUCUUGGAUCUCUGUCUCGGACGAGACUGACGCGUGACGCCGGCCUCCUCCGGGUUCCUGUUUGCAAUGCAGCGGAGGCCAUCCUCCUCGGGUUCCAGCACUACCUCGUCAUGCUCGGCACCACCGUCAUCAUCCCCACCGCGCUCGUCCCCCAGAUGGGCGGCGGCAAUGUACGUUCCCGACUCCUCUCUCGCUAUCCUUUUCUCUUUCUCUUUCUCUCCUCACCGCCACGGCUGCCGCGCCGGAGCCUGACAAGAAAGCUCGCUUUUCCCCCCCUUUACUCGGGCAGGAGGAGAAGGCGCGGGUCAUCCAGACGCUGCUGUUCGUCGCCGGGAUCAACACGCUGAUCCAGAGCUUCCUCGGCACGCGCCUCCCCGCCGUCAUCGGGGGCUCCUACACCUUCGUCGCGCCCACCAUCUCCAUCAUCCUCGCCGGCCGCUACAGCGGCAUUACCGAUCCCCACGAGGUAACCUCGCCUUCCUCUUCCUCCCCGGCCCACCGAGCCUUUCAUCGUUUCAAUAGACUUUGGUUUUAAUCUGGUGGACCUGUGGCUGCAGAAAUUCCUGCGCAUCAUGCGGGGGACGCAGGGAGCGCUCAUUGUGGCCUCCACCCUCCAAAUCAUCAUGGGCUUCAGCGGCCUUUGGCGCAUUGUCGUCAGGUUGGUUUCAGGUCCCAGUGUCGGGAUGAAUUCAUCAGUGUACCUUGUCUCAUCCCAUCUGUGCUAACUCCUGUUCCUUCGAUCUUGCAGGCUGCUGAGCCCGCUAUCUGCUGCUCCCCUGGUCGCGCUUGUCGGAUUUGGGCUCUAUGAACUGGGAUUUCCAAGCGUAAGUCUUUAUACAUGUACGUUAGACCUGCAUGAAUGUAACAACAGUGAGAUAGUAACAUGAAUUUGCCCUGCAGGUUGCCAAGUGUGUUGAGAUUGGUCUUCCUCAGAUUUUACUGCUUGUGGCUCUUUCUCAGGUAUGAUGCAUCAGGAUGGCUGCUGUGUGAUUUUAACCGUAAAAGUAGCUGCAUCCUUGAGAACGAUGUGUGAUCUUGGUUUUCUCUUGCAGUACAUACCGCAUCUGGUCCCGUUACUGGGUACUGCCUUUGAGAGGUUUGCUGUCGUAAUGUCCAUUGCCGUUGUGUGGCUUUACGCCUUCUUCCUGACAGUUGGUGGCGCGUAUAAGAAUGCUGCUCCCAAAACCCAAUUCCAUUGCCGUACUGAUCGAUCUGGGCUUGUUGGGGGCGCUCCAUGGUAAUAGCAUGCAUCCUUUUGCAUGUUCCUUCACUACUUAAGAGAGCUUUAUAUGUUUGCAUACAUAUUCUGAAUGCUACAUCCUGCAAAGAGCCUGCUUCGCCGCUAGAUUGAUAGAUUAUUCAUCUACAAAUUGCAGGAUAAGUGUACCUUAUCCAUUUCAGUGGGGAGCACCAACCUUUGAUGCCGGUGAAGCUUUUGCUAUGAUGGCAGCUUCCUUUGUUGCUCUUGUGGAGGUAUAUUAUUCAGAUGAACCCAUGAUUUUUUUUGAAGGAAGAACCCAUGAUAUUUAUUAGAACCCAUGAUAUUUAUUUACAGCUUUCUCAUCCUAGAUAGUACUGCAUAUCAUCAAGUUAAUACUCCUUACUGCAUGAUGCAGUCUACUGGUGCAUUCAUUGCUGUUUCACGGUAUGCCAGUGCAACUCCAUGCCCUCCUUCUGUCAUGAGUCGUGGCAUUGGUUGGCAGGUACCAUCUAAAUUUCUCUAUUUGCAGUUAGUGUAUCUGAAAAUUUGAACGACAUGUGAGCAUCUAACUGUCUUAUCUAAUUAAUUUGUCUAUCUGUCAUUCCAGGGGGUUGGCAUUUUGUUGGGUGGCUUAUUUGGAACAGCUAAUGGAUCCUCUGUAUCUGUGUGAGUAGAUUCUAGAUGACUGCUACAACUAGUUUUUAUAGUGUGAUGAUGUGAUCUGAAUUCUACUCAGUAUUGAUCUGAGUUUGCAUUGUUCUGAAACAGUGAAAAUGCUGGGUUGCUCGCUUUGACACGCGUUGGUAGCAGACGUGUUGUGCAGAUUUCUGCUGGAUUUAUGAUAUUCUUCUCCAUUCUUGGUAAGCCUCUGCUUUUAUGUGAAUUAUGUAUUCAACUUCUGGCCAUAAUACUGUGUUAAGUACCUAGCUUAAAGCCUGGAACUGCUUAAGUUUGUUACCUGGACAAAUACAAUCGAGCAGAGCAAUCCAUACUAUGCCCCUGCACUCCUGACAACAAUCAACUGUAUCUAAUGGUAGUGAUUUUGUGCUGCCUUUGUAGGGAAAUUUGGAGCUGUUUUUGCAUCAAUUCCUGGCCCAAUUAUUGCAGCUAUAUAUUGUCUUCUCUUCGCAUAUGUUGGUAUGUAGCACGAAGCCACGAAGUAAAUUGUAAACAUCGUAUAUUUUUUAUAUCAACUGGUUGAAUAAUGAUAGAAGCAAUGCGUUCUGCUGUACAAACAGGUAUGGCAGGUGUUGGGUUCCUUCAGUUCUGCAACCUGAAUAGCUUCCGGACAAAGUUCAUCCUGGGCUUCUCUUUGUUUAUGGGUUUGUCGGUGCCACAGUAUUUCAACGAAUACACUUCUGUCGCAGGCUUUGGUCCAGUACACACACAUGCCAGAUGGGUAAGAUCAAGCUCGAAUCAAAUUUUGGUUUUCUUACAAUAAGAGCAACAAGCUGACAGCUUGACAGAUAGUUCUACCAAAUGCACAUUCAUGCCGCCUUGCACUGUGAAGUUAGAUAUUAUUUCAUGGUGGUUUACAGACAUCAUGCUCCUUUGAUGUUGUAGCCUGGUGCUAUAUUUGAUUUUUGUGUAUAAUAGUUAAUAACCAAACAUCACAUGUCAAAGCAAGUGUUUUGAGUAUUGCCUUCUACUCACUCCGUCCCAAAUAACUAUUCGUUUUGGCUUUGACUUUUCUAGAAACAUAACUUUUGUUACGUAUCUAGACAUACAUACAUCUAGAUCCAUAUUAAAAGUUUUGUAUCUAGAAAAGUCAAAACGAAUAGUAAUUUGGGACGGAGGGAGUAGUAGUUUUAGUGCUUUGAUACACUGAAGAGCUGCAACCUAACUGCUGUUUUCUCUUCUGCUCAUGUCCAGUUCAACGAUAUGAUCAACGUGGUAUUCUCCUCCAAAGCAUUCGUCGGAGGCGCUGUAGCAUAUUUUCUGGACAACACCCUGCACAGGCGUGACGGCACCGUGAGGAAGGACCGGGGGCACCAUUUCUGGGACAGGUUCAGGUCGUUCAAGACAGACCCGCGCAGCGAGGAGUUCUACUCCCUACCAUUCAACCUCAACAAGUUCUUCCCAUCCUUCUGAUCCGCAGCCGGUAACAGAAAACGGGAAAAAAAAUUGUACGGUUAGGUCGUUGACGAAGUGAUUUUGGCGAUGCCACGCCCACGCUGUUGUCUCUCCUAUAUUCUAAUGUACCUCCUGAGUUCUGAAUCUUGUAGAGCUCAGCUUAACUAUGGACGGGAUGGAGGAAUGGCUCGGUAUUUUUGGAUGUAAAUUGGGUUGGAUUCCCGGUUAUGUCAAUAAACUGAAAAUGCCUAACUUCUUUCUACCUCAUCAAUCGUUCUGAUGCAUGUAUGUUAGGGGGUGUUUGAUACUUAUGUAUUAAACUUUAGCAGUGUCACAUCAGAUAUUCGGAUGCUAUUUAGGAGGACUAAACAUGAACUAAUUAUAAAAUUAAUUGCAGAAUUCUAGGGUUAAUUCGCGAGACGAAUCUAUUAAGCCUAAUUAAUCCAUCAUUAGCAAAUGGUUACUGUAGCACCACAUUGUCAAAUCAUGGACUAAUUAGGCUUAAUGGACUAAUUAGGCUUAAUAGAUUCGUCUCACGAAUUAGACUCCAUCUGUGCAAUUAGUUUUGUAAUUAGCCUAUAUUUAAUACUUCUAAUUAGUAUCAAACAUCCAAUGUGACAGGUGUUAAACUUUAGCGGAUGCUCUCCAAACACUCUGUUUCCUGAUGCAUGAUGCAGUGAUGCUCUUACUACGGGAAAUUUUAUCUUCCUUGAGAGUUCAGAGGAAUCAGGUAGGCGACAAGCUGAACACAUGAGGAUGGUCUGAAUUCUUGAUCUGAAUGCACAGUUGCAGGCCAUGCUGGAGUGAUGGGGUGCUGCCAUUUGCAGAUUUCAGAUGAUUUCUGCAGCUCAUUGGUGUCGGCCUUCAGGUCGUCAGAGCCGAUUGCGCGUCCCUGCUGGAAACAAAAGACGGCGCGGUAUGAACUCACACGGCCACAUACCACGGUCAUGGUCAAAUCCAACAGCGUGAAUCUACCCUGAACUGUUGAUGUGAGGUAGCUGUACAACUAGAACGCCAGACCAUUUCAAAGUUCAAACUAUUAAUAUUUUUUAAAAAAACAUUGUGAGUGGCACAUGAUUUUGAGUCGCAUGCACGACCUCGUCAUCAAGUACCAACCGCUAGCAUGCAAAUCUUUUCAUUUUAAAAAAAUAGUACAAGUACAGAGUACUAACGUGCAAACAUGUGGGAAUUGUUUUUUUUUCGCCUCUUUUUACAGAUUACGAAAUCGUAAAAUAGCCGCCGACGCUAAACGUGAUUGAUGUUUACACGAGAACAUUUUUUUAUUUUACUCCAUUUGACGCGUCAAAAACACUGAACCCGAGAGAUCUGUCGCGCUCUAAAAUCCAAACUAAAUUCAAAUUCUCUGAUGGUUCGUUCCUCUGCUGUACUCUGAUUUCUUUUCUGACAACAACAUUAUUCAUUAAUUAUUUUUUUACUUUUAGACCCCCUAAUGAUUGAGUAAUUAUUAAAUAACUACUAUUUCGAUCCCCUCCCUACCGCGCGUUUACGCCCACGUCCUCUGCCCGUUUCCUUUCGGUUUCCUCCACCAUCUCUCUCACAUCAUCGUCGCCACCUCCAUUCGGGUCUCCGUUCCCUUCGGCCUCCGAUCCCUCCACGAGUCCAUCCGAAUCCGAGGUACGCACGCACGCGCAAUUCGCCGCGGCUCUCCCCUCCAUUACGCGAUCCGAUCGAUCUGCGCGGCGUCGCGUCGCGUCGCAGUUCCUUCGCUCUCUUAUUCGGUGGAUCUCGGUGGCGCGCGUGGCUCCUGCAGGAUCCGCGGCGGCGGCGGGCGGGCGGGCGGGCGGUGGUCGGCCGGCGAUGGCGCACCGGGUGGACAACGAGUACGACUACCUAUUCAAGAUCGUGCUCAUCGGCGACUCUGGCGUCGGCAAGUCCAACAUCCUCUCACGGUUCACCCGCAAUGAGUUCUGCCUCGAGUCCAAGUCCACCAUCGGCGUCGAGUUCGCCACUCGCACCCUCCAGGUAAACCCACUCCCUCCCUGCCCUUGAAUCUCGGGACGUGAACGCGAGAGAUUUAUUGCAUUCGAUGCGUUCUGGAUGCGUUCUGGUCAGAGACGAUUGUUUCGGCUUGGGGCUACGGAGACAGAAAUUUGGGAUAGCUAAAUCACUGCGGCUGAUGGGUCUAUUAUAAUGAUUUGGAGGAUGUGGUGCGCUAUGCACAGCAAGAGUAUCAGCAUGUAUCAGAUCUGUGAAGUUUCUUGUGUUGUUAUGAAUGAUUGUAAAUGAUAGGUACAAAUCAACUUUGUAUGGAUAAUAUUUAUGCAUGCAGAGAAGAAAACUAUGAAUUAUGGUUGGGGGUAUAUAUAGGACUAUUUAAAUUUUGAAGUCUAGACUAGAGCAGGCGUGUUGCCAUGCAGUAAGCAGUAUUUGCAGCUUUUCCCUAGUUUUGGUUCUUAUUGCAGUUUAAGCUCUAACUGAAUGGUCGAAUAAGCAGUGAAGCACUUUACAUAAAGACUCGCCUGUGGGAUUUUCUGUCCUCAGCAAGUAAUCUAGUACUGCUGCUCUUUAAUGAAUAUUUUGUCUACACCAAUGAUUUUGAGUCCACACUUGCAACAGUUAAACUAAUUACCACCGUAAAAAAAAGUUGGUUGUAUUGAGUUGCAUGCACAUUGUUGAUGUGUCCUUCAGUUUGGAGGUUUCUCAGCUUGUCUGUCUAAACUCCAUCCAAAUACGCAUAAUUUGCUGUUGUGCUUGUCAGUUUUGUCUGUGGCUUCAAUAUCUAUUGUUGUUCCCCACUUUUUAUUUGGUUGUUUUGUCUCAUUAUCCAAUAACAAGCUGGAGCAUAGACUCAUUUGCUGGUUGUCUUCUACUGUUUUAAGCUAUAAUGCUAUGUUAUUUUAAAUUCCUGUAUUCUAGUUUACUGACAUGAUUUUAUUCCAACUGGAGAAAAUGUUGAUAUACUGGUGGUUUAAUAGUUCUGCCAUAUGUUGUUUUCGAGUUCACUGAUACAUUGCCUGGUGUAUUUACAAAGCAUGCACAAUAUUGUGUUUAUUAUCGUUGCUUGCAAAUCAAUUAUGAAACUAUCACUUUUGCCAGUGGUAGCAAACUGGUUUGUUCAGACUGGUAUGAAAAUGAGCAAUUGCUCAGAGCAUACAUGUGUAUGUAUCUGUAUCUUGGCCAGGAAUAUUUCAGAACAAGGAACUGCCUGGCGAAUGGAUAUCAUGACUUCAUGAGUUAAUGAUUGUGCUGGUACCAUGUACUCGAUUUGUCCUUGCAUGUCAAAGGUGGUCUGUUUUUGUCAAGACAAGUUCUUUGAUUAAUUUAGUACGUAUAAGAAAUUUGGGUGCUGUUUGACUGUACCAUCUUGGCUUUAUAUUCUAUUGUACUGAAAAACCUUGCAAUGUUUUGUUGGCAAUAAAUGAUCGUCACUUUUGCUUAUUUUUCCGCUUCAUUGUAUAGGUAUUUCCACUGUUCUCUUUCGGCAAGCAAUUUAAAAUUAAGUUUUUCUAACACUGUCACUGUGUUACUUGUUCUAACAGAUAGAAGGGAAGACCAUCAAAGCUCAGAUAUGGGAUACUGCUGGGCAAGAGAGGUACCGUGCGAUCACUAGUGCUUACUACAGAGGAGCUGUGGGUGCACUUUUAGUCUACGACAUCACAAAGAAGCAGACAUUUGAAAACAUUCAGAGGUGGCUUCGUGAGCUCCGUGAUCAUGCAGACUCCAACAUUGUGAUCAUGAUGGUUGGUAACAAAUCGGACCUGAACCACCUGAGAUCGGUUCCAGAGGAAGAUGGUCAGGCAUUAGCGGAGAAAGAAGGCCUACACUUCCUGGAGACAUCAGCACUUGAAGCCCUGAAUGUUGAGAAGGCAUUUCAGACUAUCCUCACUGAUAUUCAUCAAAUCAUAAGCAAGAAAGCACUUGCUGCACAGGAGGCAGCAGGCAGUGGACCUCCAGGUCAAGGAACCACCAUCAAUGUUGCUGAUUCGUCUACCAACACGAAGAAAGGAUGCUGUUCUUCCUAGGAGCAAACAAAGAUAUGUUGAUGAUGCAAAAGGAAAGUAUUAUGGAUCUUACAACACUCUAGGUGUUAUGUAGGUUGCUUUGACUCCUUUUGGCCUGUAACUCUGGUGGGGUUGUAAUCACAAUUCAUACUUGUGCAAAGAAAUUCCAAUCUCAGGUAGAUAUGAUGUGUAGUUCCGAAAUUUUGGUAGAGACUGGUGUUUGGCAGACUUCCUUUGAGAGUGUGUUUUCUUUCAGUGUUCUAUCCUAAUAUAGUCUUUCUACUGAAAAACAAAAUCAGGUAUUUCUUGUAUUUCUACAUGAGCUUGUGGUGUUAUCCGACAUUUUGAUUUCUGUGCUAGAACAUCGAUCCAUGUUCCAAACUACACAGCUCAUGUGUUCUCCAUGGUUUUGGCCAUUGUGUUGGUUCAUUCACUUGUUGCCUAGACUACGUGUGAUCCCCUCCAAUAUCAUGCGUACCAUACUUCAGUUUUGUUUUCGUUAUGCAUCAUGAUCUGUCUCUGUUAUUCAUAGUUAUUCCAUUCAGACAGAAUCAGUUCUAACCUAUCUACUUUAGCAUAAUCCUCUUUUCAGUUGCACUGUAAAGCUCCAUCUUCGCUGUCAGUAGUGAGCGGCAAUGCAUAACUCGUGCAAAGUACCUCAACCCCCUUUCAAACUUUUGAUAUAUUCAUCUAUGGCUUUAUAUCAUUAUAUCACUCUCACCUGAUCCAUUUUGCAACGAUUUAUCCUUUUCUGCUGGGAGAACGACAAGUCAUAGUUUGCACAGCAUUUUUCUUGUGAACCUUAAAAGAUAAGUGUGGCCAGUGUCUGUUACCCUUAACUGUGAUUGAUACCCCUUGUUUCUGUCUUUGCAUCCUUACAUCACUCUCAGCUGAUUCAUUUUGCAGCAUUGUUUUCGCUUUCUGCUAAGAUUGGGACAGAUAAUUCAGAUGCCCAGUCUCUCCGAAAUCAGCUUAUCUUACCAGCAUUCUCUGGAGAACCAUCAAAGAUUAGGCUGGCCAAUGUCCUUUCAGCGAAAUCUUGGUAGAGACUAUCGUUCGGCAGACUUACUACAGUUCAGAGCAAUGCCGUUUUUCUUUCAGUAAGCUAAUCCUAAUAUGUUCUUAAUUAUCCGAAAACUAAAAUCAGGUUUGCAUUUCUAAUUCUACAUGAGUUUUUCGAAACCUGAAGCACAUCCUUCCAUUUUUUUUGUGUUUCCACGUUAUGUUCUUCCAGGCUGCACAGCUUCCACGCUAUUGGCUCAUUGUCUCGUUGCUUCAACUACACUGCUUGCGAUGUCCCUUCUCACGUGAACAAUACUCCAGUAUUCGUGUAGCGUCAUGAUUUGAGCUUAUCAUGUGGUUCAUUGUUGCUAAUGCAUUCUGACAGAAUCAGUUCUCUGAUCUCAGCUUUAGCAUAAACUUCUUUCCAGCUUGCAUUCUGGAACUGCAUCUUCGCUGUCAGUAGCAACCAUGCUUAACGCUUCUUGCUACGGCGACAUUUUCAACCUCUUCAUGCAUGGCUUAUGUCCUCAUUCCGCGUUGCCCGGUCUUUCAAAUUGCUCUCUUAAGUUGACGUCGAAUUCUGCAGAUGCCCGGUCUUUCAGAGACCAACCUGCUAACAACAACAUUUGAAUAGUCUGAAGAACACAAGGACCUUCCAAUAUAAGGUAGGAAGCACCAAAUUCCUUCUUAAUCAUGGUUUAGCAUUUGUAUCACUCUCAGCCGGUUCAUUUUGCACAAUCUAUCGCUUUCUGCAAAGACUCCUGCACAUUAUUCAGAUGCCCAGUCUUUCAGAAAUGAGAUCUGACAGUAUUACCAAAUCUGAAGAGCAUUAUCUGAAUUCUGAAGAACGAAACGAUCGAAAACGAACCCUUGUGAUUUGUCAAGUGUGAGUGCACUCCCUACCAACAACUUGUGAUCUCCAUUUCUUGCAGCUGCUGCUGCCGCGAAGAAGGAAGAACAUGUUCUGUCCACACAAAAAAAUCAGUCAAUCUUUUCAGGCAACGGGCACUUGCAUAGAUGCUUUGCCGCAGAAAAUGGUAGCGAAUGAUGAGAUCGUGCGGGUCGUCCGUCAACUGGAGAGCCUCCUCAAAACCGGAUUCGCAGCGACGCAAAACGUUUUUGCCGAAUCCUGUUCUGUCCCCUCGCCGAGAAUGUGCACGGCCAUUGAUGAUAGAACUUGCUUUCUUCAGACCUCUUUUUUGCAGGCCAAAGCAAAGCAGUUCUAGAAACCUCAGUCUGGCUUUGGCUCGUAGGAUCCAAGUCCAAUACAUCCCUCCGAUUCCAGAUUUCCAGUGGCAGGCAGCCUUGGCCCUGAUCGUGAUCUAUCAUGCAGGUGGCCAUUUGUCAUGUGCUUUAUUUGUAAGGAGCCUCGCUCCCGGGGUUACAAUGUUACAUGGGUUCUGACUCGCCCCUUCUUGGAUUGGUUGGCAUUGCUGAUCAAGGCAAAAACACUGAUCAAAUAUCAAUUGAACCAAGGUAGAAAAUUACCCUUCAUGAUGGAUUGAUGUGAGGCGCACUUUGGAGAAGCAAGUGGGUGUCUGAUGCAAGUGCAACAAGGUGAGCUAACUCGUUACUGGCUACCACAAAUUCUUAUCCCCAAAUGCGCCAAUCAUGUAUGAUAUGUCGCCAAUUUGGUACUCCGAUGGUUACAUUCUCCCAUAGAAAAAUGGCUACAUUCUGAUUCUUUGAAUAUAUCCUAUUAAGAAGCGGUUGUGUAGGCACCACCUUGCCUGUCUUGGAAAAGAAGGUCCAUCCCACGAUCCAUAUGCUUGUCCUCAUCAGGGGUUAGACUCACUAGACCCAUGCUGGAAAUUCACGUUGGCCAGGACAAUAAAAAAUACUCACUUGUGGCUGAGGUGCAAUCUACCACUGAAUAUUUAUUCCAAUUCCUCUCUAGAUGCAGGUUUGGUCGGUGUAGGCCAGGGGUUGACCAGGGGAUUACCCACUAAAUUUGGAGCUAAUCAUUUUGCUUCCAUCAUGAGAUUUGGGUUGGGAAUUUCAUGCUCCACGAUCUAAGGCGCAAAAGUGAAUUUGUGCACAUCUUGGUGAGCAUGGUGUUGAUUUAAGACAACUAUUAUAAUAAGACUCUCUGCAUUGCAGUUGUGCAAAAUGGUGACAACAUGGUACACAGGUGAGAUGAGAAAAAGAAGGGCACAAGGUUAACCUUAUUUACCACUGCCAAACUAACUCUCGGUUGCAUUUUGUUGGAACUGAGUACCAAGGUUAGCUCCAAGAAUUACAAAUCACAGUCCCUUCAGCUAAUACAAAUUGCAAUCAGAUACAGUAUCUAGCUCAAGCAUUUAUCUUUCUACUCUUACUUACAGGCCACUUCAAAAAGGCCUAUCAAUCCGUAUCUUCAGCGCAUCUAAUCUGAUUGGCGUUUCAAAUCAAUCAUGUAAUCCUUUCAGCACAUUGUACACGACCAAAUUUCCAAUCAAUCCAUCUGGCUCAUAAUGACCGCUAACGGACCGAAGAAAAAAGAUACCGGUAUGUCAUUAUAUAGCCAAAGCACAUGUCAACAGUCAACUGCUGUUGUUUCAGAUAGCGCCAACGAUCGACACGUGGAUCGGCGCCACUAUCGGCAGAUUAGUGAUGCACACCCUCAAUAUAGUAUCCUUUCAACAUGACGAUUUGACAGUAGUUUGGAGAGUGAUGAUGACCAUAAUGGGAGAGCACGCCCACUGUGACCGGACCGGUACAAAUGAUGAUUAUCGUCCUGCUCCCACAAUGCCUGGACCGAUCAAUCCAAAGUUCUUGACAUCAGCUAGCUCAAGAGAUACAGAGGUGCCAUGCAUAGCAGUCCCAUCUGUUUACAAACAGUCACUAGCAAAAUAGUUUGUACCUGAAGCAGUUUCCGGUGGCGGCUGAAGAUCUGCAUUAGCAUCCACUAACUAAUUAGCUCGGUACGAGCUUGCUGUGCAAAUUUCUGACGCAUUUCUUUCAUGUGCUUGAAUUAGUUAGUUGGAUCGAGGCAGGCACUGACUAAAGCAAAACCAAAGUGGUGGUAGCAAAGGUGUGGUGUGGAUCGCAUCCAUCCAUCGAUUGAUCCUUCACCGAUUGCACCCAACUCGACGUUGUCGGCAAUGCAAGUGCAUGCAUGGAUCCGGCCACUAAUUUUCCAGCAAGUUCGUUCGAUGCAUGGAACUACUGCUAAUCUGGGUUAAAAAAACAAAAGUAGUGAUGCUCAUAUAUGGAGCAAGGUAGUGGUUAGCUUAACUUGCAGUGAAUGCUAUAAAUGGGCACAUGUCAAAUUUGCAGUAUGAUUUGUGGAUGAAAUCAUUCGGUUCGGUCAGAGAUAAAAUGGAUGUGAUUAGCUGCGAGCUGAGUGACAGACGAAUGGCACAUCAAGUAGUUAUCGUCUGACCUUGAAAAUGAUUGUGCUCCACCGCUGCACUUGGUCGAUCAGUGCGUGCAUUGUUCAUCCUUUUUCGUCAAAUCUCAGUUCUUCCGGCAGUGUAUCGUUGGCUGUUGUCAACUUUCUUUUCGGUCGACAAUGUGUACUGGAGCAAAUCCCAUCCAUGAUCCAACUUUGACUGGUUUCAAAUUUCAAACACUGAGGACGACCACUAAUAGCUACUUUUUAGGUUUAUGCAUAGCUAUACAAUUUUUCAGAUAAUUCUUACAAGUUGCUGCAUUUUUCUGCGCUGCAAACAUGACGGUAUUAACGUUUUAAUUACAAAGCUAGAGGCGUCCACUUGCAUUUGUGAUCAAAAUAAGACCAGAACUUCUUUUUGCAAAAAUAAAUAGCCUUUCUAGCCACAUAGCCUUCAUGAUUAGAGAGAUUCAAGGAGUAACAAGAAGUGGUGUAAGCAAUAUGACAACUCAAAGUGAGAGAAAUAAAAGAUAGAAGGCAAAGAAUCACGAUGGUGUAUGACAAUAUGACACACUAUGACACUAGAUAGUAGAUCAAUCCAUUCGAUUGCAAAGCAAGACAAAGCUUGCAAAAUUUGAAGUAAUUAACUAUGAAUAAUGCCAAAUAUGAAUUGAUGAAUGAAGGUUAUAUUAUCUUUUAUAUUCAUCAAAAACUGCUAUAUUUAAAACAUUCAGAUUUUUUUAGGCAGCUUAAAAGCAUAUUAUAAUUUAUUUAUAUAUUUCAUUCACAGUUCUUGCUACAGUUACCCACUGCAAAUUAGUAUCCUUUUUACAAAUACUAUUGCAGCUAUUUAUCAACCAAAACUAGUUACUAUUUGUCGAUUAAAAGGAAAACACACGAGAUUAGAUCAUCCAGUUUACUGCAAAUCAUUUUUUUUUUGCUACUGAUGAUACACCCAUUACGAAAAAUCGGUGUCGCAUCAAUGGAAUCCACACAUAAUAUUCGGGUGGAAGUACUUGUCGCACAACGGUAAAAUCGACAUUUUCCCCCCUCGGAUAUGGGCUACCUAGGCGAUAUAUUCAGGAAUAAGAAUGUGUUGAUUAGAAUGCACAAUCACUUCUGAUUGACCCUUCAUGUUAUAGUAGCCUUCUAGGUUUACCCACCAACUCUUUUUUUUAGAAAAAAAAGGUUUACCCACUAACUCAAUAUGAUAAUCGGCUCUAAAAGUGGCGUCAUCUUGAUCAAAACUAAGAAAAUUGACCAAGCUAUGGGCUUCAAAAUCCGACUUAUUAUACUCAGACCCACUUGAGGAAACGAAAAUUUUAAUAAAAGAGAGAAAGUAUCCUACCGUAUUUGGUUCUCUAGAGACAGACAGAUUCUUGAAAAAGCUAUCUUCUAGAGAUUGUCAAUUAGAGAUGGAGGUUGGCCAAUCUUUAAGCUCGGUUACAGUUGUUACAAGACGUGAAAAAAAAGAAAAGAAACCACCCCCUUUGUUUGAAACAUAGCAUAUGCCUUGUUCAUUAAUACAAAGAUAUAUUAUUUCAUACUCCAAUAUAGAAUGUAUCUAUCAAGAUUUAAUCUAAUAUUUUGUAAAUUGUAGGAUAUAGCUUUAAUAUCAUUAGAUUCAUAUUUAGAAGCAUUUCUAUAGUGUUGACCUUAUGGACACAUACCAUCUCAUAUGGAGUAGGAGAUAUUAACUGUUACUAGCGUUAGAGACCAGGUCAGUCAAAUCGAACCUUACAUUUGUAAAACGGAAGAAGUAUUUUUAAAAGUAACUUCGCAUGCUUGCAUGCAUACAUUAUGAAACGGACCCGAAUUCCUAUUUCUGAGAAUUCAAGCCUACGCACCUCGAUGAUAAUUUUAGGAAGGCUAUCACGUGCGAAUCCCUAUCUCAGGUAGUACAAACCCAUACCAACAUAAAAACAGAGAGAGAAACAGAAUACAAACAUCAUAGGUAACAUGAGUACGAGUACAUCUCAGCGGCACAUGUCGGUACAAGUCCAUCAGGACUGAAUCAAGAAAGGUAAAAUAUCUACGCAGCGGAAACAUAAGCUAUGGCGAACUCCAUCUCCAGAGGCAACUCGAGCGAAGAAUGGUCUCUAGUCUUCCCAACCGUUGUUGUCGAAGUCGUAGUCGGGCUCCGACCCUGAAAAGCCACAAUCUACCUGAGAAGCAGGUAGGCCAUGUCAACUCCCAAAAGCAGCAGAGCCAAGGAAACAGGGGAAAUAUACUAUAUGCAUGGAUAAACCUAUAUAUGGUUGUAGAGGUUUAUGCAGCAACUGCAGCAGCAAUCAAGGAAGCAACUAUGCAACAUCAUCUCCGAGGUCAACACCUCAAACAAGGAAGUCGCCACAAAUCACCGGAUCCUUUACCCAAGGGUCCAGCACCCAAACACACUAGGCAAUGUGAGAACUCCCUCCCCUCACAUCUCAAUGGCAAACGCCAGCCUAUCUCAAAAAGGGGAAAGGUGGAAGUACAAGAGAAGUCUAGUAAGAAGUAGCGGUAGUCAACAACACUGUCCAUAACCAGUGGACACGGACUAUAGCUAUAGCUUUAUACACUCUGCAGAGGUUCUAUAACUGUAUCCGCACGGAUGGAGCUUGAACGGUAGUGAACCGUCCAAACCCCGCCUAGCAGCCGGAGCCCUAGUAAGUGGAUAGCUCUCUCCUGUUUCCUCGAUUCUGGAACCGUCCUCAGCUGUAGGGCACACCGUCACCAAUGAGGACCUCGAAGCUAUGAAACCUACCCACACUAGGGUGCAGUCUAGUUAGAGCAAGUCAACGCCUCGAACUCCUUACACGAUCCUCCAAUCCACCUACAAGCAGAGCACUAUCCACUACUAGUCUUGGACCGAACCCCGCCCAUAACGUAAGCGAGUGGUAAGUAUGAAAAGUAGCUGAUGUGACUGGUGGUAAAUUGACUCGGUCCUUAAGCGGCUGAGAGCGAGCACUCAGCCAACAAGUAUGUGCCGAAGCACUAGCAAUGUACAAGUACGCCACCUGCUCCUUAGUAACAAAUAAGGUACCCACCACAGGUAUGGGGUAUAGAGAGAGUCCAGAAAGCUCUCUCUUGGCAAGGGACUCCUUAGUACCAAUCAUGGCUCGCUCCCGCCAAGAACACAUCAAGGAGUCACACUCACCCAAAACACACGCGAGAGUAUUCAAGGAAUCCCAUCACCAAAUCCAUGGCAAAUACGCAUCCAUAACUCAAAAGCAUAUAAAUGGAUAAAUGAGCGUUGGACUAGCUAGGGGUCCGUAGUUAGUCCACAAAAGUAGGUAACCAAGAAAAACAGGAUUAAACAAUUAUCAAGGCAUGACUAAAAAUAUUAGCUAUGCAAUCCAUCAUCACCAAGCAAUAUAAGUAAAGCACUAGCAAAUAAGCAUGCAUAGGAUCUAUAUAAUUGGGAGUGACAUGAUACUUUGUCCGUAGUCGAUUGGGUCCUCCUCGGUGUAGUCGAGGUCUUGAAGGUCUUCCUGGUCGUAGCUCGGAUUUGAACAGAACAAGAUACGACGAAACGUAAAUUAAACGGCAUUACAUCUAGGCAAAAACUCCAAUAAAGCCAAAUUUAGAAGAUCCAAAUAAUACCAAACUAGCAACAAACAACACGGGCUCGAUUUUACGAAUUUAAUGCAACUACUUUCGGAGUUAAAAUAAAUUAGUUAUGAAUUUUUAAAGAUUAUUAAAGGAUUUAUUUAAUUAUUUAGUAAUUUCAAACAAAUAUUUAUUAAAUGUGACAUGUGUCAGCUUGUGGUUGCUCCACGUGGCACCCCCUCGGGUUGCCACGUGUCCUGCUAACGUCAGCGUUGACCUGAUCAACGGUCAACAUGGGCCCAUCGGGUUAGUGGGCCCACAAGUGGGCCCGACCAGCCACAUCAGCGCCACGUGGUGCCUACGUGGCAGCCACGUGGGCGGCGGCAUGGCGUGCGGGCAACGGUGAGUGCACGUAGGCGAGCGCGGCACAGCACAGCGGGCACACACGGGCGCGGCGUGGCAGGUGCAAGCGAGCACUGGCGCGGCACGGUUGGGCAUCCCUUGGUCGCGGCAUGGCCGCGGCGGCCCACGGCGAGCGGCGGCAUCUACGGCUACGCUAAGGCUACGACACAACUAACAGCAAGGGGAAAGGAGGAGGGAUGCGAGGCUCACGGCAAGGCGGGUGAAGAGGAAUAGCGUCGGCGGCAGCUUCCUUCGGCGGCGGCGUGGCGGCUCCCGCGGGCAGACUCCUCCUCUUGCUCUUCUUCUCUUCCUCUUCUCCUCCUUCUCCUUCAUCUCCUUCUUCUCCUUCAUCUCCUUCUUCUCUUCUUCCCCGCGACCCUCCUCUCACUUUCUCUCUCGGCGAUGGCGGCGCAAGGGGAGAACCCUGGGCGGCUAGGGAUAGUGAGGCUGGAGGGAGGGGCGCGGCUCCUUUUAUAGCGGCGAAGAGGCGGUACAAGGGCACAAUUGUGCUCCGCCAUCCAUCCUCGGUGUCCGCGCCUGAUGAUGGCGUGGCACCAAUCCGGCAACUCUGCGGCUAGGAUUAAGGCGCGGGCGGCGGGCGCUCCGGGGGCACGGAGGGGAAUUCCCCUCUGCGGAAGCCUCUAGAAGGGGACACGGAGGCGCCUCCGGUCGGGGGUGUGCGCCAGCGCGACGCCCUUGCCCGCCCGUGAGCGUGCACGUACCGGGCGCGUGACUCGUACGGGCGGGAGGUGGAAGAAAGGCGCACAGGGCACACCGACAGGUGGGGCCGGUUGGUCAGCGAGAGAAGGCACGGGCGAGCGCGCAGAACGCUUGCGCGAGCGUGAGCUGGGCCGAGCAAGCGACUUGGGUGGUGGCGGCCUGCUGGGCAGCGCAGAGCGGUGCGGGCGAGCUAGGCCGAGCAAGCACGAUGCGGGCGAGCUGCGGGGCGGCGCGUGGUUGAGAGGAGAGGUAGGUUAGUGGGCCAGACCGGCUCAGCUUAGCGGGCCGGUCCAGUGGGCUGGGUUAGUUUAGGUUAGUUUUUAUUUAGUUUUAGAUUUAGAGUUAGAUUUAGAUUUUAGUUUGAAUUUUGAAUUGAAUUCAAAAUUCAAACAACACUUGAACAUGAACUCCAAAUAAAAUCCAAAAGAUCCAAAUCAAGCCACACAAAUUUUUAAAUGGGAUUUAGGGAUGAGAGAGAAAUUAUCUAGUUUUUCAAAUGAGCACACAAUUCGAACAAAAAGUUUUAAAUUUUUGCAAAAUUCACUCAUACAAAUAUUACAAAUUUUUUUUUGAAUAUUACACAUUAAAUAUAGUAAGUCUUUGAAACGGCGACAAUGAUGUGCUGUGCAGUCAUAUUCAAUUGUUUCUUUACUGCAUCCAAGAUGGAAAUACACGCACCUUGUAAUUUCAAACGAGGAGAACACCAGAUUCAGGCAACCACACUCAUUUGCGUAGUUCAAGCUGUUUGCUCGGCCAGACAAGCCCCAUUAAAACCUUUGUCCUCGGACACCCGAGACGCUGGAAACAAACAGCUGGAUACCUGCCUGCGCGUAUAAACAGCUCAGUUUGCUUGCUUCCAUGAUCACAGUGGCAAGAGAUCCAAGCGCACCACCGCGGCGCGGGCUGCAGGAUCCAGCCAUCCGGAUUGCAUCAUUGCUGAUGGCUGGCAUUUGGACCUCUGACUUCUGGACACGAACUGAACCGGCAAACAAUUGUAGCUGACAACCGGUGGUCUGCUACGGUUUGUAGCUGGCCUUGAAUGCAAUGCAGGCGUUACACAUAAUAGUCUCGUUCAUCUGCCUGCGAGGGACGCUAUACAUAGUAUAGUUCAGGUCAUGGCAGCACAUCUAGUGGACUCCGUGAGGAACAUAAGAACUUGCCAAAGAAAUCGAGAGAUAUUGUUGAAUACUACGCACUUAGCCUCGUAGUGUCAUGUAUAGAUUUCAAAAUAAGUUCCUUUUUAUGAGUAGAUCUACUGUAAUCUUCGCAACCCUUUUGCUCUGACUUGUUAAUUUUCGCUGAUACGACGUGGUACCAGACCCGCCGCUUUUGGUUCUGAGCCAGCCAGCGAUCUCGAUCUCCCCCAUUAGUGCUGCCUCUUUACUGAACAAUUGCCAGAUUAACAAAUUCCCUCCAUGGAUUCGCCUGCGUGGCCUUGCCUUUGCUCGAUUCGAUUCGUGCCCAUCGUCGUCCAUCUCCUCAACAGCGACCACCCGGUGCCGCAAUUCCGGCCGCUUUCCUAUUCCCCCGGCCGCUCCCGUGCUGCCAUGUGGGCCCCACAGGGGGGGGCGCUUAUAUAAAGGCCCUCCUCCCUUCUCGGCCUCUCAGACCACCAAACCAAGAACUAGAUAGAUCAUAGAUAGAUCAAACAAAACAACCCUCUCCUCUCUUUCUCUCUUGACGACUGGCAAAUAUAGGAAUCGAGAUUGACUUCAUGGAGAAAAGCUUGAGGGUUGGUUCCAUGGAGGACCGCCGGGAAUGGGUACACGACUCCUCCGUCGAUCACCGCGGGAGGCCGCCCUCCCGUGACGCCACCGGCUCGUGGAAGGCCGCCAUGUUCAUCAUCAGUGAGUACCCACUGUCCAGAGAUCAUCGAGCUCCAUGCACCGACCAGCUGUUUUUCUGUCGUCGGCGUGUUCUUCGGGUCGAUUAAUUCGUUCCUAGCUUUUCCUCUCCCAAAAUAGGUGAUCACUGAUUUCGUCUUCCUCCUUUGGUCGAUUGGCAUGCAGUGAUCGAGUUCAGCGAGAGGCUCAGCUAUUUCGGGAUCGCGACGAGCCUGAUGCUCUACCUCACCAAGGUGCUGCAGGAGGAGAUGAAGGUCGCUGCCAAGAACGUCAACUACUGGACCAGCGUCACCACGCUCAUGCCCUUGCUCGGCGGCUUCCUCGCCGACGGAUACCUCGGCAGGUUCUCCACCGUCGUCUGCUCCACCGUCGUCUACCUCCUGGUGAGCUGCUGAUGUCCCUUUGAAUUCUUCUCGCAUGCAUGCAUUGAAUCUCUCAGCUCCGUCCGUUGACGCGUGUUUUCUUGUCGUCGUUCCAGGGCCUGAUGGUCCUGGCCACGGCGCAGCUGUCGCCGAGGCUGACGCCCAACCACUCGCUGCGGCUCCACGAGACGCUCUUCUUCGUCGGGAUAUACCUGGUGUCCGUCGGCACCGGCGGGCACAAGCCGGCGCUAGAGAGCUUCGGCGCCGACCAGUUCGACGAGAGCCACGCGGCGGAGCGGGUCCAGAAGAUGUCCUUCUUCAACUGGUGGAACUGCGCGCUCUGCUCCGGCGUCCUGCUCGGCGUCACCGUCAUCGUCUACGCGCAGGACCGCAUCGGCUGGGGCGCCGCCAGCGUCGUGCUCGCCGCCGUCAUGGCCGCCUCGCUCGUCGUCUUCCUCGCCGGCUGGAGGUUCUACCGCUACAGGGUGCCGGAGGGCAGCCCGCUGACGCCGCUGCUCCAGGUCGUCGUCGCCGCCGUCAGGAAGAGGCGCCUCGCGCUGCCGGCCGACGCCGGCGAGCUGUACGAGGUCAAGCCGCAGAAUAUCAAGAAGAGGCUGCUUUGCCACACCCACCAGCUCCGGUAAGAACUGGCGUUGCUUUCCUUUCCUUUCGCCGGCCAUUAAAGUGGUCGAUCGUGAGGUGCAAUUGCUGGCUACAAUUGUUGCAACCGUCGCUAGUGACCAGUGAUUGCGAUACGAGUUUAUCCAAUUCUGCUUCUUUCGGAUGAACAAAUCCGGAGCAAAUCUUUGAAAAGCAAAAGGGAACACAGAAACCCAGCAUUACAUUUACGAUGAAAUGUUGAGUGUGACGCAUGUGGUACGUGACGUACGUGCAGGUUCCUGGACAAGGCGGCCAUAGUGGAGCACGACGGCGGCGAGGACGCGGCCGGGCCGUGGCGGCUCGCGACGGUGACGCAGGUGGAGGAGACGAAGCUGGUGCUUGCCAUGGUGCCCAUCUGGGUGGCGACGCUGCCCUUCGGCAUGGCGGCGGCGCAGGUGUCCACCUUCUUCAUCAAGCAGGGCAGCAUGAUGGACCGGCGCAUGGGCCCGCACUUCGUUCUCCCGCCGGCGUCCAUCUUCGCGCUGUCCGCCAUCAGCAUGAUCGCCACCGUCGCGGUCUACGACAAGGUGCUGGUGCCGUUCCUGCGGCGCGCCACGGGCGGCGAGCGCGGGAUCAGCAUCCUGCGGCGCGUGGGCAUCGGCAUGGUGCUCGCCGUGGUGGCGCUCGCCGUGGCGGCCGUGGUCGAGCGUCGGCGCCUGCUGUCCCCCUCGCCGGCGUCCAUGUCGGUGUUCUGGCUGCUGCCGCAGUUCGUGCUGAUCGGUGUAGGCGACGGGUUCGCGCUGGUGGGGCUCCAGGAGUACUUCUACGACCAGGUCCCCGACAACAUGCGCAGCCUGGGCAUCGGGCUGUACCUGAGCGUGAUCGGCGCCGGGAGCUUCCUGAGCAGCCUGGUGAUCACGGCGGCGGACAGGGCGAGCUCCCGCGGCGGCCACGCCAGCUGGUUCGCCAAGGACCUCAACCGUAGCAGGCUCGACCUCUUCUACUGGCUACUGGCAUGCAUCGGCGCUGCCAACCUGGUGUUCUACGCGUUGGUCUCCACCAAGUACUCGUACAAGACCGUCAGCGGGGCCGGCAAGGUCGGCGUCGACAAGUCCGGCGACAUCGAGUGCGCCGCCGCCGCCUAGCUGAUCGAUCGAUAGCUAGCUGGAGAUCAUUAGCGGCUGGUAAUUCGAUUUAUAAGAUGUGUAUGAUAAUGUGUACUAUGUCAUCAGUUAUCGUGUGUGUCACUCUAGCUAGGGUACAUGUCGUCUCAGUGUCACAAGGAUUUAAUUAGCUGGGAUGGAUCGUUCGUGAACUCGCGUGUCGUGGAAUGUACUUGUACAAGUGCGGUUUGGUUCGUUGUAGCGGCGAUUUACCAUGUGCGUGAGCUCGGUUAAUUCGUGACGAGGAAAUGCCAAAAAGAAAUGGAAUGGCAAACGGGCGCGGCGGGCCGGGGAACUCGUCUCCGACUCCGGCGACGGCGGAAUCGCGAAGGUUAGGGGCGACGUUCCAAUAUGACGAUAGAUGGGGAGAAGUUGGGCUGAAACGCUCGGCCCGAAAUUAUUUAGUUACCGGGUUGUUGGUCGCCACGUUGUGUUUGGUUGAGUUGGGCUGAAAACAAAUUGAUUGGCUCAGUUGGACCGGGCUGAAAAAAGGAGUUGGACGGAGAUCGAUCUAAACGACGCUAGCAAAUCGAGUACUAGUUAUAUUUUCAAAUAGCGCGUUUGGUUGUGCUGUGGUUUUUGUAAAAGUAGGUGGGAGCUGUGAGCUGUAAAAAAGUAGCUGUGAGCUAUGGGCUGUGGAAAAGUCGUUUGGUGGAACCGUUGUAGUUUUUGGAAACACUUACAAGCGAACCCUACAUGUCAUUAAUAGUCCACCCCACUCAACCCUCUCCCUCUCUCAUUGACAAGCGGAUCCCGCUCGUCAGCCCCUUCUUCCUCCUCCUCCUGUUGCCAGUACCAAAGGAGCUCGUGCGGCUGCUCGCGGGGGAGCAGGUGUCGCCCCUGCUGGGAGCUCGCGCCAUGCCGCCACUAGCUGCUCGCUAAAGGAGGAGAGAGGGAGGCGGAGAGGGCUGUUGUCGGCGUGGUCGGUCGGCCGCCGCGUCGGACCCCGCCACCACCACUGGUAGCCCGCGGAAGGAGAGAGGAGCUCGUGGCUAAAGAAAAACAUCAGGAGAGAGGGGAAAGAAACGAAAUAGUAUGCAUGUAACGAGUGGCAGUGGAUAAUUUCUUCCAACUUGAGAAAAUCAAAAAUCCAAGGAAGCACCUCCCUAACUACUGCCAGAAAUGAACUAACUAAAAACUGCCAGUUUUUGGACGGAAAUAGCUGAACCUUUUCGACCCUUUAAUUGGAUUUUAACUUUUGGAAAACAAAAGCAGCCCUCAAAAGUCCAACCAAAAGGAGGCUUAACCAAUUACAUGCGCCACCAAGACAGAGAGACCACUAGCACUAGCACUAGCACUACCACUUUGUUCCUCGGCAAAAGCCGAGGUGGCUGGCAUUGGCUGCGGUCGACGGGUCAAGUAAGAAAAUGAAAAGAUUCUUAUCAGAUCCGGAGAUUCUUAACCAUCUGGCUGUGCGCAUGGUUAAGCAAACAGAAGAAACAAAACCAAGAUCGUGAAACAAAACCAAGAUCUGGCUGUGCGCAUGAUUACUUUAAAUAAUUUUGACUUGGCCUGAACCAAGAUGAUGAGCACAGUCAGAUCUUGACCUGAACCAAGAUGAUGAGCACAGUCAAAAUUAUUUAAAGUAAUUAUCCUGCAGUAUUUAACUCUGGGAAAAGGUAAAGCAAACCUGUGUGAGUUCUGCGUCGCGGCGAGCAGUGGAGGAAGGAGCCGUGGCCGUCUCGCCGGAGCGCGGCCACGUCCUUCGAUCUUCUGUGGCCACGAUCACACACACGCUGCUCCGACUAAGCAGCAAGGCAGGCUCAAGGCUGUGCUCCAGUGGCACAGAAGAUCCGGGCAGGGUUUGUUGUUGCACGAUGAAAGUGAGCCCAUGAAAGUGGCGCUUUCUUCCCUCGAUCUUAUCUCUGGUGACUCAUUUCCGCAUGUGACUCUCGGGACUUAUCAGUUUGUAUCUUCGGUCUUUUGGCAUAUACCCCCUCGUGCUAUCAAGUGUAUUAUUUCCUCAUGGGGGCACCUAUGUUAUCUACAAAUCGAAAAUGAGCCCGUAUUUUACUUACCCUAGUGCAAACCAUUUGUGCAGCUUUUUAUUAACGAAAAAGCUAUCGAGUGCAAAGCUAUCUUUACACUCCUAUAGAUCCUGUACACUAUAACGAGACGAUGUUCGGCUUCUCUACAUCUCCUACUCAUCAUUCUAAUAGGUUAGGUGUUAAGAUUUGGUAUCCUUUGAGCUUAGGAGAUAUCUAAUACAGUAGAUUGAAACUAGCAGCAUUAGAACCAUCACAUGUGGGCGGAACAUUGUUGUGGUCAAGGUGGGCUAUGCCUCCCUUGCAAUUUAGAAUUGCUAGGAGUACUUCUUAACAAAUGACGAUAUUUUAGUUUAUAUAUGGCCACCCAUCUUCUCUCUAAGCGUAUUUAGCCAUCCCCUCUAAAAGUGAAUUCAAGCUCCGCCGCUACAUCAAUAGUAGACAAUUCAUGGCAACAUUAGAAGGGAAAGCGACAACUUGGUUAGCCAGAUUAGGAAGAGUGUAGUGAUCCAUCAUCACUCGAAAAAUAAAAAAAGACAAAAGGACCGGUGGUGAUAAGCACCGGGUGAAAACAACACGACUCGAAAUAUGAAACCAUCAUCCUAGACUCCCAACAAAUGGAGUGCAUCAAAUAAGCCCUUUUUCUUUUUUAUCGCAAAAUUUUUUCUAUAGUCCUUUAUAAUUUCGCACUCUAAUUUCAUCACAGUAGAGGGGUUGUUCUUCAAGUUGCCUGUUUGUCUAUUGCCACUUGCUCGCUUACCAGUGGGCGAGCAGACACGGCACACGGGCUUGGUGCCUUGUCCCCGCGGAGGGGUCCCCGGGUUUCCUUCGCCUUCUAUAAAGAAGGCUUCUAUUAGCCGCGUACAGAUAGAUAAGCAGCAACUCCAGUCCAACCAAAGCACAAACGGAAGAGGAGAGGAAAGACACCCGUUUCUAACAAGACCAAUUCUUGCAAGGAGAAGCAGACAUGAGAACCCAAGUGUUCUUCCUCACAUUCGCCUUGCUCGCAGUGCUCGCGCAAUCCAGCAACAGGCACCACCACCACUCCCAUGUUCAGAGCAAAGGUACCGGAUCUUCUCUUUGUUCUUGCCCAAAAGUCGCUUCUUUUCUUGACAUCGGAAUCCAAGAAUUGCUUGACCUAUUUAAUUUUCUAGUUUCCAAAUAACAAUCAAAGAGUUCGAGAUUCGUUUGAUUUUUCUUGUUACAAGUAUGCAUCAGUUUGGUUUACUCGGUUUGGAAUCUGUCUCUGGUUUCAGGGCAUGGAGGGGGAGGAGGAGGAGGAGGAGAGCUAGCGAGCCGGGGGAAGGCGGCGGCGCGGGCAUGGCCGUGCUGCGACAACUGCGGCGGGUGCACCAAGUCGAUCCCGCCGCUGUGCCAGUGCCUGGACGCGGUGCCCCGCGGGUGCCACCCUGCCUGCCAGGACUGCAUCAAGUCCAGCCUCAGCGCCGAUCCGCCGGUGUACCAGUGCAUGGACCGCGUCCCCAACUUCUGCGACCGCCGCUGCACCGCCGCCGCCGCCCACUGACCGGCCGGCUGAGCGAACGACUGAUUGCUGUGGAUUAUAGAUUUUUGUGUGUAGAGAGAGAGAGAGACGAGGAAUCUGUUCGUCUGAUGAGCAACCAACCAAACCAAUCUUGGGAUUUUUUUUCUCCUUUUGUUUUUUUGUCUUUUGUCUUGACACUGCUCUUUGCCGGCUACUACUGCUUGGUUGACUGUUCUUGGUUGCGACUUGCGAGGAGAUAAGCACGGUGAAUCACCGGAAUUUGGAAAAAAAAAUUGCUUUCCUUGCUGGUUUUUUAGCUUGGUCACGCCGACCCUGCCUCGGAUAAUUGAGGUCCACGCCACACGAGCUUGGCCGAUUUUUCGUCUGGACAUUUUUGGGAACACAGAUGCUGCCUCAGUGCCUCUCUGUCAGGGAUGCAGGAUGAUGGACCUGGACGCUAAUCCGGUCUCCGGCGCGACGCGAGGCCGAGGACGAGUUCCAGGGUCAGAUUCACCCUCCAAAACGACAGGGGUGUUCUCACUGAUCCGAUGACAACAGGCACUGCAAGUGGAGACUCCUACCCCGCACUCGCACUCGCACUCGCAGAUGCGCAUUUUCCGCGAGGAUAUGCGGCAAACAUGCAGCGUCUGAAUUUGGAGCCUAGUUUCUUUCAAAAAAAAUAAAGAAUUUGGAGCCGAGGUGGGGAUAAAGGCAGGGAAUAUGUCAUCCAAGGAAGAAACUAGCUGCGGUGUAUCUGCAUACGUGUUCUUGGUCGAGAAAACUAUGCUGCUACUUGCAACGUGGUAGCAUUGGACACUACAAAUUCAUGAAAAAUCAACAAACUGGUGGAAUUUUCUUUUUUCCAGAGUAGCACGAAAAUCAACAAACGUUCUCUUUUGAAGUCAGGAGAAGGAUUCACUAGUGCACAGCUCUGGUGGAGUUUUCUUUUUUCCAGAGUAGCACGAAAAUCAACAAACGUUCUCUUUUUGAAGUCAGGAGAAGGAUUCACUAGUGCACAGCUCUAAUUUUUUUUGAGGAAAUUGCAGAGCUCUAACAAAGUUUAGAUUAGUACGGAGCUCUAUUUUUUUAGGAAAUUGCAGAGCUCCAAUAAAGUUUAGAUUAGUACAUAGCUCUAUUUUUUUUAGGAAAUUGCAGAGCUCUAAUAAAGUUUAGAUUGAGCAACUCCAAGAGUCUAAAAAAAAUCUCCUCCAAAACUAUCUAUUGGGGACUCUACUAAAAAUUUAUUCUCUUAAAAUCAUGUCAUCCCACAAUAAUAAACUUCCCAAUACUUCAAAACUGACCACGUCAGCACCAAGUAGCUUCAAAAUGCGCCGCCCAUGCUCCGGCCGUGCCGCGUCGGCGGCGGCCUCCGCUCGCUGCUGCUUCUGCUCCUCUUCACCGUGCUCCUCUCCGUCGCCACCUUCUCCCUCCACUCCCCCGACCCCCUCGUCGUCAUCGACGCGCCGCCGUGGAAGCCACAGCUAAUUCGCCCAGUACGGCGGGCCAAUCGUGGCCCUACCCGCAGCAACAUCGGGGCGCACUCCGGUCUCAGCAGCAGUAGACCGGGCACGUACCACCCGCCCGGUCCCACCCAUCGAUGCCGCACCCCGCGUGGAAGAAGUGCGGGCACGGUAGCACCCGCAUGAGCUCGUCGCCCCCGGCGGUGUAGUCGAACAGCCAGAUGUCGCAGCGCUUGCCCGCAUUCCCGCCGCCACCUUCACCUGGGCGUACGUCACGAGCGUGUUGGCACCGAGCGCGCGCUCGCUGUCGUCGUGCACCGCGCCGCCGGUAGGCUCGUAGGCGCACGAGGAGGCGGCGGCGGAUCGGAGACGCUCUUCCACUGGAAGAGCAUCCGUUGGGCAGUGCGUCCAUUGGGCAGCAACCGCGAGCGUUUCAGAGCUCUUAUACUACCUGGAGGCGCCACCGCAGCGUCUUGGAGUGAACGCCACUGCGCCGUCGAUGGAAGGGAGGCGGAGGAAUUGAUGGAGACUACGAAGGACCGGAUCGAACCCGCGCGCCGGCGAAGUCCAGUGGCGUCUCGUGGCCGCAACAACUUUUGAAGUACCACACCGUUAUGUCCUCCACCACUACCUCGAGCACGCACCGCCACUCCCCCGACGGUGUCCAUCACCCACACACGUGCACUCCCUUGACGCCGUCAUGCGGCAGAGAGCAAUUGGGCUGCUUGUCACGGAUGUUGAAGCCACAUUGCCGGAGCCGCCCGCUAGUGGACCUGAGGGACCGCACCAUGCGCUCCACGGACCCCUCCGCGAUGGGCGGCUCACAGAGCACUGUGGCGUGACCGCACCGCCGGCUCAGCCAGUAGAAGCACGUGUCGACAUGGAUCCCAGGGGACGCGGUGUUGAGGCAUCGAGACAUGCCCUGGGCGCCGAGCGUGGUCGUGGCUCAUCUCCCGGUCGCGGAGGUGAAAAACGCCACGAGGACGCGCCGGAAGCGGGUGCGGGUGAGGAUCAUGACGGUAAAGGAGACUACGAAACAGUACUAGAGCGAUCCGAGAAAAACGAUUCGAGGUGAUUGUGGAAGAACCAGUAUGCGGGGCGAUGGAGGUGCUUUUAGCGUCCAUGCAUUUUUACGUGGAGGAUGCAGGGUUGUUGGAGGUAAUUUUUUUUUGUUUUUCUCCAAAAUAAGAUUCUGGGGUAAUUUUGAAGGAGCUCCUGUAGUUGCUCUAAGUAUCAACAAGCACAAACCAGAGAACAGGCUUGUUGGGCCUGUUAUCCGAGCGGUUCUCAUAGAAGCAAUGGCCCAAAACAAGAAAAGGCCCAAAGAGGCCCAGGAGUUCUCGGCGGCAGAGCGGAGAAUCGUUCGGUUCUGUCUGCGAGUUCUUUAGUACCACCUCGGCUGCUGAAUGCGGACGCGCCGCAAGCUCCCGCUAUAAGAUGAGCGCCCCGUGCCCCGUUGCUCCAUACUUACCUGGACGGGGUCGACGGGCGAUCAAGAAGGCCCGUGGCCUAGGUCAGUGGCCCGCAUUGCACUUGGCGGGUGCGCUGGCUUACCAUCUCCCCAAGUGGGAGAGUGGACGUCAUAAUUUGUGGUAGAGGGGGUACGCGUUCGCGCGGCCCCCACCAAUUCUAACAAAUCAAAAUGUUGUCCUUAGCCCUCUGGGCUGUCUCUAGAAACAGGGGCGUUGCUGCAAUUUGUGGUAGAGGGAGUAUUUUACUCGUAUUAAAAAAAUAUUAGCAGUUUCUAGUUGUAUGGUUUGAUCUGAAUGGUUGAAAGAAAUAAAGUUGCGUUAUUUUAUUAGCACGUGCAAAGCCACGCGGCCAAGCUGACCCAGCCAUGGCGACCCAUGGCCUUCUCCCCUCGUCACUCUUCGCAUCCACCACCGCCAUUCGCGCCAUCGCAGCGCCAACCCGCACCUGCCACCGCGUACUCUCCUACGGCACCCGCCGCCGCCGCCCCCUGGCCUUCGGCCGCCGCGCGCCGGCGAUGGACGCCCUCCGCGUGACGGGAGCCGCGGAGCCGCUCCUCCGCCCCUCCGUCGGGGGACACCCCAGGCUCCGCGUAUGCCGCUCGACUUAACCCCCAAUCGGCGGCUAAACAUAGCCGUUGCGCGCCCCCUGCUAUUCUGGGGAGGAAGGCGGGGUCUGGUUGGCGGUGAAGGUCUGACGACAUGGAGGUCGAUGUGCAGGUGCGGACCCAUGCGCAGGGCGAGGGCGAUGCCGGGCGUGGCGCCGCCGCGGAGGGGGACGCGGCCUUCUCGUGGGCACCCGUCAUACUCCCGUAAGCUAUCUGUCAGCCACCUCUCGAAUUUUAGCAUUUGGAGAUUAUCUGGAGUGCGGGGUAGGUGUUGAAAUCAGAAAGGAUGCAUUUAUGGUCUGAUUCGACCUUGCACACGUUCUGAUUGAAGCAACCGAUUAAACUGUGAUCCUUCACUGCAUAGACAGUUUAAACUGUGAUGCUUCAACAUGGAGCAGUCAUAGAAUGUAUGAUGAUGCAGAGUAAUCUAGGAUCUGUUUAAUAUUUCUGUACAGACUGAUGCUUGCCAUAGCAAUGCUUCUUGGUGUAGAGUUUCGAGAAUAAACAAAUAAAAUGGGGUAAUCAGGAAGCCUAUCCAGAUUGCAGCCUUGCAGUACUGAUAGAUCACUGUUCGGAACCUAGGUUCUUGUUCCCUGCAUUGGGCGGUCUCCUUUUCGGCUAUGACAUUGGCGCAACCUCUGGAGCAACAAUCUCUGUACAAGUUAGUCCCCGUUUUGGUUUUUUCUGGAAUUUCCUCUAGCUGACAUACAGUCUCACUGCCACUGGGUGUAUUCUUCUUCAGUCUGCUGAUCUCAGUGGCACCACUUGGUUCAACCUGUCAUCUGUGCAACUAGGCCUUGUGGUAAUCCAAAUUUCUGUGAUUCCUAAGCUUUUGUAUCUCCCUUUUCAUAUCAAUUAUCAAGAUCCAAAUGAGUUUCCUUUUCCUUUUAUUCAGGCAAGUGGUUCACUUUAUGGAGCUCUUGGUGGCUCUAUUCUCGCAUACCGCAUUGCAGAUUUUCUAGGUGAACUGAAAAGCUAAACCAAUUUAAUUGUCCUUACCAUACUUGUUUGAUAAGGGGGUGAAUAACUUCUACCAUCUUGAUACAGGAAGGAGAAUAGAGUUGGUCACCGCAGCUGCAUUAUAUAUUCUUGGUGCUUUGGUCACUGGAUUUGCCCCUAAUUUUGUAGGUCUAAUCAUAGGCCGUAUCCUUUAUGGGAUUGGUAUUGGUUUGGUGAGUACCUGCAGGCACAAAUCUUCUUCCUCCCUAAGAUGAUCCCAGGUUACUGUUAUUAAAAAAAAUCUAAUUUACGAAUGCGUAUAAAAGUGAUUUUCUGGGGAUGAUAAGUACAUUCACUCAAGCUGAGUAACCUGACAAAAUUGUUAUAAACUUAUAAUGUCAUGAUGCCUCAUUAUAGUUUUCUGAUAUGCUAAUCAUUUACUGAAGUGUGAAGUAGCAAAACUAAUUGAUGUCACUGUAGCUUGAUGGUCAUGUUCUGAUAUAACUAAUUAUGGAAUAAGUAGAUAUAAAACAUUCCUGCACUUGAUUAUUCUGAUUCCUAUGAUGGGGUAGAACAUAUUCACUGGUACACCGCAAAAUCAAGCUGGUUGUAUUGCUAAGAUAUUUAAUAUAAUUUUCUUCUUUAAUUUCUGGGGUGGUUACAUUGCGUGUAGCACUUUACCCUAGCCUUUUUGACACCAACUUUCAACAUCCAUAAGCAUCAAAAUUUCCAUGGUUCCAUGCUUUCUUAAAAUGGGAUUCGUAGCAAUUGAAGAGAAUUACAGUUGCAAAGGAGCAUAUGAAUAUUUAGCUAGGGGUUUGGGAGAGUUUAUAGACCAAUGCUGUCCUAAAACAUUUGGUGUUAUGCCACUGAACCAUUAUGGUGCUAUGUGCCAGGCAAUGCAUGGUGCCCCACUUUAUAUUGCAGAGACUUCUCCUCCGCAAAUACGUGGAACAUUGAUAUCUUUGAAGGAGCUGUUUAUUGUGUUAGGAAUACUGGUAAUUAUCUAGUCUUCUGUAUAUUAUACUUUAAUAUACCCAUUUCAUGCCUGCUGACCAUUAAAUAUCUUGCGCAGUUCGGAUAUCUUGUAGGAAGUCUUGAAAUUGACAAUGUAGGAGGAUGGCGGUACAUGUUUGGUUUUGGCGCUCCGCUUGCAGCUAUCAUGGCUAUUGGUAUGUGGACUUUACCACCUUCACCAAAAUGGUUACUUCUCAGGGCAGUUCAAGGAAAGGGGUCUAUGGAGGAUAAUAAAAAGAAGGCAAUUCAAGCCCUUAGAACGUUGAGGGGCCGCUCAACAAGUGAAAAGGUUUUAGCAGAUGAUGUUGAAGAUACCAUUGUCUCUAUUAAGGCAGCCUAUGCAGGACAGGAAGGUGAAGGGAAUAUUUGGGAGGUAUUUGAAGGAGCUAGCUUGAAGGCCUUCACCAUUGGAGGAGGUCUUGUUCUGUUUCAGCAGGUAUUUUGUUCUCUUUAACCCAUGUAUUAGCAGGUUAUUCAAGUUAAAGUUCUGGCCAUGCUCUUAUCUUUUAUUUUUUUAAUUUUAUGCCCUUUUUUUAUCUAUUUUCAAAAUACGGAUGAAUGCUACUUCUUUUUGAGUGGUAGCGUAGACAUGCUGGAUUUUUGUUAUAAAGCUAAACUCUUACUUGACAGAUAACAGGCCAGCCAAGUGUUCUAUAUUAUGCAGCUUCGAUACUUCAGGUACCAAUAUUUUGCUUGGAAUUGUUUGGUGGUAUAGUUUUUAUAUAGAAAAUGUAGAAGUAGGAUACUGUUAUCUGCCCUAUACAUUUCUUGAAUUCAUACAACUCAACGUCUCCAUCUCUAAAGUAUGCCUUAUGUAGACUGCUGGGUUCUCAGCUGCAUCAGAUGCUGCCAGAGUGGCAAUUUUGAUUGGGUUGUUCAAGGUAAUGCAGAAGAUCUACUUCAAUACUUGUAUAUUAGCUGUUUCUGAAUCAUUCUGUGUAGGUAAAAAUGUAAGGAUCUUAUGCUUUCUAUUAGUUUUGAGUUUGUGUAACAAUUCUAUUCUUCGCAGUUGCUAAUGACAGGUGUUGCGGUACUGAAAGUUGAUGAUCUUGGAAGGCGCCCAUUAUUGAUAGGAGGUGUUGGUGGAAUUGUGAGUAUUUGUUCCUUCCUGUUAUUUGAUUAAGUUCUACAUAUUACAUGGAAAGCCCCAUACACACACUUGAAUUCAGUUUGGCAAUUCCACUAAACAUGAACACUGACAAUACUAAUAUUUUAGGUAAUGUAUUAGACUACAACUCUACAUUAGAAUAAGAUAAUUGGUAAACGUAGUAACUUUGUGCAUGUUCUGUCAGGUUUGCAUUCCUAUGUUCUAACUAAAUUGCCUUAUGUUAUCUGUAACCUGUAAAUGCAGGCUCUGUCACUCUUCCUUCUUGCAGCUUACUACAAGAUCCUGAACAACUCCCCCUUUGUUGCUGUUGGCGCUUUACUUCUUUAUGUUGGUGCUUACCAGGUUGGUGCGUUAUUCUGCACGGGGAGCCUGACAAGCACAGCAAUAUUUUUUUCAGGAAUCCACAAAAAGCUUAUACAUCCAUGUGUUUCAGGUCUCAUUUGGUCCAAUUAGUUGGCUAAUGGUGUCUGAGAUAUUUCCACUGCGAACAAGAGGGCGUGGGAUCAGCCUUGCGGUACUAACAAAUUUCGGCUCAAAUGCGUUGGUGACAUUCGCGUUUUCACCCUUGCAGGUAUUGCUUCUCAAGUUCUCAUAUUGCUACCUCCUGGCUCCUGACGUGCAAUUUCAUGAUGUUUAGUUUCUGCAAGUGGAGUCCCCAAAUUACAUGAACAACUAAACGUGUCAAUACCUAGUAGUUGCGACCAAUGAAUCCUUUCUCAAUAAAUACUCAUUUUUAUCCUUGUCAUAGAAAAACUGCUGUUCCCUGUUCUAUGGUCCAAAUUCAGCAUCUUAUCAGGUCCAAACUCCAGACUAGUGUUUAUUUUUGUGUGUGUAUUUCAAAACUCCACCCUCUGCCAACUGAUCUCCAACGCUGGGGUUACCGGACUAGUGUAUUUUGGCUAUCUAUUCGAAUACUGAUAUAGCCUUUUUCAUUUUGCACAAAUACGGGAACAAACAAUACGUGCAGUUCUGCCAACAAUUUAUAUUUCUCUUUUCACCACAGGAAUUCCUUGGGCCAGAGAAUAUAUUUUUCCUGUUUGGGGCCAUAGCAGUGCUCUCCCUUGUGUUUGUGAUCCUCAAUGUUCCCGAGACAAAAGGACUGAGCUUGGAGGAGAUUGAAUCUAAGAUCCUGAAGUAAAAUGGCGUGGUCAAGGCUCCACAAACCCCGGUUGUUGGCCAGAAAGAUUAAUGCCGUUUACAACAUGGAUGCUCACUCGUAGGAUCAGAGUGCGUCAGUCUCAGACUUAGUAGCGCAGUUCACGUCUAGAUGUAAAGUUUUUCCUUCUUGUAAUUAAUAUUUCUGGAUAUGCAUUUGUAGCUACCAAGUCAUAACCACGUCCCAAUUGUCCAUUGCAUCUCAUCCCAUAGCAGCAGUAAGUAAUCGACUAAUCGUCGUGUUCUUGUGACUAUGCUGUAUGUGCUGGUGAGCUGCCGCAAUGAGGACGUCCCCAGUUACCCCCACUGUUUAGUUUUUGUUUUCUGGAACUAUUUUACCCCUACUGUCUGCUGGUGUGAAACUAUGCUGCAGAAAUUUGUUUGUACUUGCUCACUGAUGCUUACCUGUUUAGGUAAGCUAUUUUUCUCUGUUUUAUUUCCCGAAAAAAAAGGAAUGCCGAUGGGGGAACGGCGGAUGUCUUGGGAAGUAGUUUGGCGAUGGAGAAAAGCCAGCAUUACUGUCACUACUGCUCACAGAUGGAUGCAUCUGCAACUAGACUUUGUUUAGCAUCAGGACUGGAGUGUCACCGAACCAAACAGACAUCACAAUCAAGGAGCUCAUGAACAGAAAUGUAAAUCUGACCGACACAUUUAAUACUUGCUUAUCCAGCAUUUGAUUACUACUUAUCCUAACGCAUCUGGCCCAUAUUGCGCGUCCUGGUGGGGUUUGGAAUCGUGCAUUAUAUACUCUUGAUUCAGGAAUAAGCACACCACGGCAACUACUCCGUAUUCAGAUUUUUUUAUAACAAAAUGCAUUAGGAAAUUGAUCCGGUAUCCAGUGUGCUAUUUUUCGUAGAAUUUUCAAGAUAUUGAGGUACGCAACGGAAAUAUGAAAACACAUGAAAAAUGACAUGUCCUGUCGUGUCAUCGUGUGUGGUCACUGAGCUGAGCUUUCAUGCGUCUCCAUAUAGCUGACUAAGCUGAGCAGUUAGGUUCUUGCUUAUCAAACACGUAAGAAUGCAAACACUAACUAUAAAGUUAUAUAUUGUUCCAGGCAGGACUGCGAGAAAGGGAGAUUCUUCAUCCAGUUCGGUUGCGAUUCAGAAGUGCGAGUAGUACAUGAUCAACAAGGAGGGAGGGAACACGUCGUGCCGACUUGAUUGCCUCCAUCGUGGUGGCGGCAGCAGCAGCAACCCGACCGACGAGUCAGUCGCCGAGUAUGAAGUGGGAGCGAGACCGACGACGAUGUGAACCUCCCGCCCAGACCACGACAAGCGGGGGAUCCCGGCGACCUCGUCUAGUCUGGGCGUGGCGGCCGGAGGCCAUGGUCAUGCCCUGGCUGUUGCAGCCUGGCCAUGGUCCAGUUGCCAAAGUCUCCCAGGUCCCAGCGCUAUUCUUUCGGUGCUACACGACGUGCACGUUCCCUCGUGACGUGACGUGGACUUGCACACCAACAAAAGUCUCGGGCUCCGCCGUGCCGGGACGACCCUCCCUCUUGCGCGCGCACACGCGCUCCACGUGCAGGCUCCACGGCUUUCUAAUCUUACCAGCCAUGCUCCACCACCAAACAAUUAAUCCUAGUCUAGAUUCCAAAAGCAAACACCCAGUGCCAUGCACCACAGUUGCACAGGUGAUAAAAAGCACUAUGACUUGUCAAGCAAACUCGUGUUACCAGGCUAGCAGCUACCGUUCCAAUCCACCCGUCGCGCGUCAAGACUACUCGUCCUUUUCAUCAAACAGCAAUGCGACGGACGGUGCGAGUGUGACAACACUCUUAGUAUGACUGACGAUUAAGGAUGGCUUGCUUAUUACUCCCUUCACGUCGUUUUGAUUUUUUUAAUUCAUAGAUAUUAUCACUACUAGGAAAAACAGCUCUAGUAUCGGUUGAGAACCCUCCUCUAGUAUCGGUUUCGCAAUCGGUACUGGCAAUUCGGUACUAGAGGGGUAGAGGGGGAUCGUUUAGUACCGGUUGAAAUAACCGGUACUAAAGGGUAUUAAAAAAAUUAAAAAAACAAAAAUCCCCCUCCCCCGCCGCCUGCCCCUCCACCCGAAGCCGCUCAACCGGCCACUCCCCGCCGCCCCGAUGGCCGCCGCCACCGUGCCUCGCCCCACCGCCACUCCUCACCUCAGGCACGAGGUGAAGGGUGAGUGGAGGGGGAGGAGAGGGGAGGCCGGGGAGGGAGGGAGGGGGCUGGUAGCCUGGAGAGGGAGAGGGAGCGGAUGGAGAGAGGAUAUGAGGAUGAGGGAGGUGGAGCGGAGGGAGCUGAGGAUAAGGACGACCACUAAGGGGGCCAGUGCUUGGCGCGCGGACGGAAAACACUUCAGUACCGGGUGGAGCCCCCACCUGGUACUGAAAGGGGGUCACGGAAGGCUCCUCGGGGACUAUCCAUUAGGUUCGGUACUAAACAUUAGUAUCGGGCUAAAAAGUGACCGGUACUAAGCCUUAGGAUGAGAGGUCAUUUUUCUAGUAGUGUAUUAUGUACCUAAACACAUACUAACCUAAAAAUGAUCUACAAUUUGGAACAGAAGGAGUAGUAUUCAGCUAGCAUUGACUAAGCAAGCAAGUUCAAUUCUUUGCUGGGACGAUGGUGUCCUAAUUUUAUUUCGAUUGGUGACGAGGUGAGUUGCCUGAUGUAUCUGGCCCAUAUGGCGUCCUGGUGGGGGGAACGGGAUCGUGCAUCGUGCCAGCCGGGAAUUAAUAGAAGAGGUCACAAACUCACAAUGAUCCCAACCAGGCGUUGGGUUAAUUAGUGGUUCUAUAGGGACUUUGGAAUCCAAAAAAUACUCCUUUUAGAAAGACAAGCAAGGAAUCAAGCGCCGCGCACCUGACCGGGAAUACGGACAGAAUUCUGCCAUUCAGCACUAGUGCUAAUCAAGCGAAGAUUUCUAACGGUGAAAUCUGACUAUCAGUGACGCUGGUGCUCCCAUUUUUCUAAAUUUAUUUUGGAAUUUAACCGUCGCUAUUCUUUCAGUGGUAGACGGCAUGCCUGUUGACAGCGAGACGAUAGUGGUGCCUUAAUUUUUCGAAGGUGCUUAUAGGAGUAAGGUUGCGUGCGUGUAUUCGUAAUGGUGAGUCUGCAUACAUGUACGUGAGUGUCUGCAUGUGAUUUGAGAAAAAAUAGUAGUGUUAAUCAACAAGGUAAUUAACCCGUCGUGCUGACUUGAAUGCGUCGGCAGCUGCCGGUUGAACCUGGCUCGCCGAGUGACUGAGAGUGAGACUGCCAACCUGCCCAACGAACGAGGGACAGACACUCCCCUCUCCCUUACUUCGUUGUCAAGACGUGUGUUUGGUUGCUUGUAUUAUUUGGUUCGUAUAUGGAAUAGUUUAAAAUAAUAAUAAUUUUUUUAUUUGGUUGGGUGAAUUGUACCGACCUAUCUAGGAUGAAGUCAUCCCACUCAAUACAUUAUUCUAUAAAUAAUUAUGAACUAUAUGGUACAAGUAAAUUGAUUGAACCUACGAUCAAAUAUCAUCCAUAUAUGCAUUGCAGUCCUCGGUCCCGGAGUACGCCUGCGACCCGCGAACACACCGUCCGUCACGCCUGUUCAAUCAGCUGUUCACAGUUGCUGCUGCCCAUGGGCCUCACGUGCUUCGAUCUAGAUGCCUAGUGCCCACUUUGAGCAUCUUCCCCAUGAUAGUCUUCUUCUGACCAUCUUUCUUGAACGCAUACAUCACUUGAGCACCGUAAUCCUGUGCUCCAUCUGCGAAGGCCCAUCUAUAUGCAUGUCACCUAGGUGUUAGGGCUUCAAAGAACUGAACUUUGAGAUCGCUUUUGGUGGCUAGGAGCAACUUCACACGCUGACAUCAUGCAUUUCUUUUUGAACUAAAUUAAGGGCCUGUUUCAGCUUAGCUUCUCGGGUCUACUUUGGAAAGCUGAAACAAACAGUCCAGCUGUUGAAAUUGCUUUUGGAAAGCUAGCUUCUGAGGAAAUGAACUGAAAGCUGGAAAGCUAACUGAGAGGAGCUUUUCCUAACUUUUGGUGUGUUGAGAAGAUAAAAAUUUAUUACAAAAGUCAAUAGCAAAAGAUCAGCAAUCAAAAAGUCAAUUUUCACAUAGCUAGCUUUCCAGCCAAAAACUCAGGACGUUCGGCGGGCCUGUCCUCAUUGUUGUUUUUUCUUUUUUGGGAUAAUACGCUUGGUAGCAAUCUUUCUAACUAAAUCUAAGGACACACAGGAUAUGACAUGGACGAUAGGAGAUGAUUAUGAGAAGAAUGUUGUUGGUGCACUACACGGGCAACCACAAUGUGGUAGAAAAGUAGUCCAUAUGUACUUUUAUUUUCCAUUCAGCCACCUAGUAACAUUGUGCAAGUAAUCCAUAUGUAGGAGUACAAAUUAAUUUUCGGUUAUCUAUAGGAAAUGGUAGUGUUAAUGGCAACAACAUGUUUUGGAAGUGGAUAUAUAACACACAAAUUCCGUACCUUUUUGUGUGUUCGAGAGGAUCCGUGUCCCAACUAGUUUAGUCUUGUUUGGCGAUGACACAUGCACCUACAUCCAGGACCUUAGGGUUAGGAUUAGUGGGUUUUCAAUGUUAGAACUUGGGUUUUACCAUUCUCCGAAAACAGAUGCAAGGGAAGAAGGCAAUCUUGGCAGUGGAAUCAACGGUGCAUUGACAUUAGGGCGGAAUGUAGUGAAGCAGCGGCAUGAAGAAGGUAGCUAAGUAUAAUGGUAUUACAAGGGUGAUGGGAGACGACGAUGAGCAGAAUGUUGCGGCUUGCCGAAGCAUAACCUACUAUUGUGGUUGGAGCACCGACAAGUAUGGGCAACCGUACAGCCGUAGAGGAGAGGGGAGGGUGAGCCGAUCAGGGAUGUUAGGUAAUUUUCUCUUAAUGAAAUACGUGCUAGUGAAAAAAAGGACGUUAGGCAAACAGAUGGGAGCAAUGGAAGAAGGAAACGACGUCAAUGUUUGAUCACCUAAAAAUCGUGUGUUUUCAGCAUUAGAAUCACUAUGAGUGAGAAGUAGACAGGUAAAAACCUCAAGUACCAUGCCACUACUUGCACCAGUCGCAGUAUAGUGUCCAAUAAACCCACAAAUGCAGCGUCAAGACCUGUCGUUCCUACCUCUCCGAUCCUAUGAAGCGAGCAGCCAGCCAGCGCCGUUCCCUCUGAUGCCGUCCACUUCCACGUCCCUCCCGUGCUGCCGUGCACGACAAACCCAGGCGCUCGUGCCGGUGUAGCCAUAGCCCCGAUGACUUUGACGACGCGCUGGGAUUGUUGCGGCCGGAAGCUAUAAGCCGAGCACGCCGGCCGAUCGCUGAGAGAUCAACGUGUCUUGUUCCAGCUCCACCAUGGCGUCUGUUCUUGCCGCGGUGGUGCCCGUCCUGCUCGCUCUUCUGGCUCGAAGCGGAUCACCGGCCGCAGCCGGCGCCGCCACCGAGUUCGUUCUCGCCGGCUUCGCGGGUGCGAACUUGACGGCCAGCGGCGCGGCCGUGGUCACCUCCUCCGGCCUCCUUCGGCUCACCAACGAGACCAACGAGGCGUUCGGGCACGGCUUCCACCCCGCACCGCUGCGGUUCAAGGACGCCUCCACGGGCGCGCCGGUCUCCUUCUCCACCACGUUCGUGGUCGCCAUCCUGCCGCGCUACCCGGACGCGCACGGCCACGGGCUCGCUUUCGCGCUGGCGCCGUCGGCGACCGUGUCGGGAGCCGUGGCGGGGAAGAACCUCGGGCUUUUUAACACGUCGAACCACCUCGGGAAUGGGCAGAGCGAGGUCGUCGCUGUCGAGCUCGACACGGCGAUGGACGAGGAGUUCGCCGACAUCAACGACAACCACGUCGGCGUCGACGUCAACAGCCUAAAGUCCAAUUGCUCGAAGCCAGCGGGCUACGUCGCCGACGCCGGCACCGUCAAGCUCAACGUCAGCUUGGUCUGCGGGGACCCCCUGCAGGUGUGGAUCGAGUACGACGGCGCGAGCACGCGCCUCGAGGUGACCGUGUCACCGGCCGGCGUGCCCAGGCCGGCCGUCCCGCUUGUGUCUUGCGCCGUCAACCUCUCGUCGGUGGUGGCCGACGGCACGUACGUCGGGUUCUCGGCCGCGAACGGCGCUGCCUCGAGCUCGCACUACGUUCUCGGCUGGAGCUUUCGCCUCGGCGGCGGCCGCGCGCCGGACCUCGACCUGUCAAAGCUCCCGCGGGUCCCGUCGUCUAGGCCCAAGAAGACCAUGCAUCCGCAACUGGUCCUGGCGCUGAUCCUGCUUGCCGUCGUGGCGCUCCUCGUGGUGUCAGCGGGCGUCACGCUGUUCGUCGUCUGGCGCCGGCGGUUCACCGAGGUGGAGGAAGAUUGGGAGUUGGAGUACGGACCUCACCGGAUCAGCUACAAAGACCUGCACGCGGCGACCAGAGGCUUCCGCGACGUCAUCGGCGCCGGCGGCUUCGGCCGCGUGUACCAUGGCGUGCUCCGGCGGUCGGGCACGGAGGUCGCCGUCAAGAAGGUGGCCCAUGACUCGCGGCAGGGCUUGCGCGAGUUCGUCUCGGAGAUCGCGAGCAUGAGCCGGCUGCGCCACCGCAACCUGGUCCAGCUCCUCGGCUACUGCCGGCGACGGGGAGAGCUCAUACUCGUCUACGACUACAUGGUCAACGGCAGCCUCGACAAGCACCUAUUCGACGCUGAAAACAGGCCGGCGCUGAGCUGGGAGCGGCGCGCCAAGAUCAUCCGCGACGUUGCCGCCGGGUUGCUGUACCUGCACGAGGAGUGGGAGCAGGUGGUGGUGCACCGCGACAUCAAGGCCAGCAACGUCCUCCUCGACACCGACAUGAACGGCAAGCUCAGCGACUUCGGCCUGGCGCGGCUCUACGACCACGGCAGCGAUUCGCAGACGACGCACGUCAUCGGGACGCUCGGGUACCUCGCGCCGGAGAUGAUCAAGACCGGCAAGGCCACCCCGAGCGCCGACGUGUUCGCGUUCGGCGCCUUCCUGCUCGAGGUGGCCUGCGGCCGGAGGCCCGUGGAGUCACUCAGCAACAACAAUGCGGACCCGGCGGGGCUCGUCGACAACGUCCUCGAGUGCUGGAAGACCGGGAGGAUCAGAGACGCCAGGGACCCGAGGAUCGGCAAGUGCGACGAGGACGACCUCGAGCUGGUGCUCAAGCUCGGGUUGCUAUGCUCGCACCCUGAUCCCCGGUGCCGGCCGAGCAUGAGGCAGGUGGUGCAGGUACUGGAAGGCGCCGCGCCGGUGCCGGAGACGCCGCCGGAAGAUCUAGGCAGCAGCGGCAGGACCUUCGGGUACUACGAGACGUUCGAUGAGUUCCUCAACAUGUUCCCGACGACGAUCGAGGUGGCGACCGUCACGCCGCGCCUUGGUCGCACUCCAGCGCCGAACACCAGCACCUGAUCUCCGGCGGAGUUCUGGCUCUGCCAUCAGCUCUCGUCAAUAAAUUACAAAAUUCUCUUGUAACUAAAUUCAAAUUUCUCUUACCACUAAAUUGCUACAAAAUCGCUGUGAUGUGCUUAGGAUGGUUCAAAUUGGAAAGCAAACAGUUACAAGAUUAGGUGUUGUAAUAAUCUUGUCUAAAGAAGUGAACAUAGGUUGUCAGACAGUUUUAGGAUGAUCAAAGAGUGGUUUUGCUUUCAUAAGUCCUAACACCUAAUUAACCUAAUCGUUGAGGUUUUGUACGUGUAAUUUUUUUUCUGCAAGUGAGUAAUCGUUGAAGUUUUGUAUGUGUAAUCUUUUUUGUAAGUGACCAUAUGAGAUACUAUAAUCUCCGAAAUGUUUUUCUACAUAUUCAUCAUUUUAGAUUUAUAUAUUUUUGAGAUAACUCAUCUUGUAAGUGAUAAGAACUAAAGAUCAUGUUACCACUCAACCAUCAAAAUCACAAAUAAUAAUCUUUUUUUUCCUUAUAUCCUCCCUUCGUUGACCGCAACAUUGACCUACGCAUCAUAGAACAAGCAAACCGGUUCAUGCAACCCAAAAUCCCCACAUUUAAAACUCUGUACCUGUAAUGCAGUGUGCCGUUGCAUCCUCCUCAGUCCCACACGACACGAGCAAGGCAUCAGCCAUCACUCCCGUUUGUCACAAACACAGCCAAAUCCGAUCGAUGUGAACGGCAUCGACCGUUCACCCAGCUAUUCUCUGUCGUUCAUACCUGGUCGCUCGGUUCCCCAGCGAAAUAACAUAGGCAGACCCCCCGCACAUAGCUCUGGCCCAGAGAAUGACUUGAGAUCCUGGCAUCUCUCGAGCGAGCAACUCAGACAUUCGAGUGAUUGACCAUCGAGCCAACACGUGGGGUGGUGCCGACCUGAACGCAUCCAUCAUCGAGUGCCUCUGCCUGCCCAACGCCAACGAACGCCGGCCCGGACCUCGCUCGACCUCGUCGUCAACAAGGCCGGCCGGUCCCGGAGUACGGCGGCCAUACAUCCGGCCUGUGGAAUGCUAAUAACAUGGGAUGGACCUGGCUGGAGAUAUCCAGCAAUGACCACACGGUGUGCAUCGUCCCAAGCUGCAGAGUCAGUCAGUCGUCGUCUUCUAUCACAGCAAACGCAGUACAGUAUUUAAGUAGUGACAGCUACCUGUUCUUGGGUCCCUCUCUGAAUGUUGUACAUGUAUCCGCUGAAUCUGCAUGCAAAUACAGACGGCAGAAGUAGGGACUGAUGACUUGAGGUCUAGACGUCUAAUUAAGCUGAUGUCGACCUCUGGGUACGUAUGCUAUUUACCAAUUUACCACCAUGUUGUUGAUCAAGAUCAGAUAACCACGGUGCUUGUUGCCAGCCUAGAAGGUGCGGUGUGAUGGACAGAGACGGCGGUCACUGCUUGCGAGUGUGGUGCAUGCUUUUGCAUUGCCUGGCCGUUCGUCUGCAAUCGAUAUGAUGUUGUUCAGCUGCCGCGUAAGCUAGGCAAGUCGAUCCACAACUUGGCCGGCAAUUUGCAGUUUCCUUGGCUACGUUAUGCCUCUGGUUAGUACAGUACUAGCUCCAAACUCCCAACUGAAUGCAUGCGAAUGCAAACCACACAGAAGUCUCGAGCUGAAGGGGCCAUUAGCUGGGUAUGUGACAGGGAAUGCGAAUUUGACUUUUGGAAUGCAUGUCGUCGUUUUCCACUGUGAGAAUGACACCUCUACUUGUGUCAAAUUCAGCAAAAACCUAAAGAAUGAUUUGCAAAUUUUAGAUCAAAAAUUUUUACGUCAUAUAUGAAUUGGAGUUUUGCAAAUUCAAAGGUAUCUUAAAGUGAGACACUACACGGCAAAAGCAAUGUGGUGCAGUGCUCCAUAUGAAUAUGCAACACACAUAUAUAUCCUCACUGACAUUUUGCGGAGCUGAAUUUCCAGCAUCUAAAACAAAACAAAAAGGAAUGGGAAAUCUAUAUGUGACUUGAGUAUUCCCUUCAAUAAUUUCUUUUCCGAUUUCAGCUACAUGCACAUAUGACAUCCCUGCUUCAUGUCCGGCAAGAUCAGGGUUCCAGAUUUGGGGAAUUGGAGGCUGCAUUAGAGGAUUUAGAGGGGAGGGAUGUGAAUGAAGGUUAGCCUAGCAGUGGAGGGCCACGGUGGCCACAACGGUGAAGUAGCAUGUGACGGAGGAUGGGCACUGCUGGGGAUCGCCAAAGAACUAAACACCCUCGAGCGCCAUUCGUGGGCAUAGUUUUCCAAAUGGGCCGCCCGGCCCUAGCCCGGCACUAACCCAUCCUGGCCCAGCACUAAUAGGCCCGAAGGGUUUUCGUGCCGGGCUGGGCUGGCACUGCGUGCCGAGGAGGCAGCCCAGGCCCGGCCCGACGACCUUUUUAUCGGGCUGGGCCAGCCCACAACACGACGGGCCAUGCCGUGCUAGUGCCCGGCCCGGCACUAGCAGCAGCGGCCGGCUCCAGUUGCCCUCGGAGGGCGGCGACGGUCGGCGGCCGGCCCCCCGCGUCGGCCCCUGGCGGCGGCGGCGGCGGCGGCUGGCCCCCCGCGUCGACCUCGGGCAGCUGCGGCGGCCGGCCCCCCGCGGCAGCCUCGGGCGACGGCGGCUGGCCCCUUGCGGUGGGCAUGGCGACCACCGUCGCCAAGCAAGCAGGAAGGUGGGACUGUGGGAGGACCCUGGGAGGCGGACGGGUGGAUGGUCAAAUGGGGGGAAAUUGAAAGUAUAAGUAGGGUUCUGCAUUUAUAUGGUAGUUAGAUCGGGCCACAUCGGGCCGGUCCAAAAAUCAUGCCAGGCUCAUGCUGGCCCAGCGUGCCGGGGAGGCGGCCCAGGCCCGGCACUAUCAUCGUGCCGGGCCAGCCCUGGCACUAUUCACUUCGUGCCGGGCCCGUGCUCGUGCCGUGCUUUUUAGUGUUGGGCCUCGAGCCACCCAACGGGCCUGGCCCAUUUGGAAAUCUUUGUUCGUGGGUAAAAACUCUCUAACCUCGCAAGUUCUUGGUCAAGGAAUAAAACUUGGUUAACCUCGCAAGUUCUUAUGGAAACUAUUCUGGUAGUAAAACUCAUACCCUCGCAUCUUCUUUGUUACUGGAGGGACUCGAAGCUGGCAACUGGUAACUAAUAACUAAACUCCAACUGAGCUAACCCUCGAGUGUUCGGAAUCAGUCCUGAACACCGAGCUUUCAUCUUUUUUACUCUUUACUCAGGAACGGAACCUGAAGGGAGAUUCCGUGAGGUUACAAGAUUCUCAGAGCAACACAACGAACCAGGCGUCACGAGGUUGGACAACUAUCUCAAGCCAAGGGUGGAGACACGAGGCUGGAAGAUCGAUCUGGUGAAGGUGAAGUCCCGAGGUUGGAAGGACGGAGGCGUGAGAAACGUGACCAUAUUGAGGAAUUCAAUUUAUACACGUUACCCCAUGACCUUUAUGUAUGGCAUAUCCUAGAAAUGUAGUGGUUGAGGAAGGACAUUUCGAAAUGUAAAGUGGCUCAUGUGUCACUAUAAUAGGGGAGCUCUACUCCAUUGUAAAGGAAAAUCGAUUGUUUUUUAGAACUUCCAAGUGUUAUCUCUUUUUAUUCACGAAUUUGUUUGGUAUCGAAUUUUUCACGAAUUUGUUUGGUAUCGAAUUUUCUUUGAGACCAACAGGCAAUGAGGAGGUUAGGGUGGGCGCAACUCAUUUCAAUGGUGUAUGGUAGCAUAGUGAUGACAGAUCGAUCCGGUGGUGGGAUCCACCUGAAAUGAGAGAAGAAGGGCGGUAAGGGGCACCACUCAACGCAAGAGGAAGCUCCUCGGUGAGCACAUCGGGAGGAAGAAGGAACUACAAGAAGAAGCCCAAGGAAGAAGAUCUAGUAACUGUUGGAUUUCAAUCCAUGAACAUUCAGAUGUAUGGAAAAGAAAAGAAAAGAAAAGAAAAGAAGCCCGUAAGCAGUAUAGCUGGCCUAAAAAGAGAUACCAUGCAUGGCUUCAAGGAUGGGUCCGGGAUGUGCACUGCUGGCGCAGAACCCAAACACCAAAACAAGCACACACUUGCCAAACGUCACUCUUCAACACUUGUCGUACAGUAGAUUUCUACCUCUCCCAUCCUUGUCGUGCUGUGAAGAUAUCACCCGCGAGCAGCCAAUCCGAGCGCUCCCCGCUCCCAUCCUGGCCCCUCCUCCGAUGCCGUCCACUUCCACGUCCCUCUCGCCCGGCACGGCGCCGGACCACCAGCUGAUCGAGGCAUCGGCGACGACGCGACCAACCCCUACCCGGGCACCAGUAACCGGGACAUGCCUUUAACACGCUGGGAUCCCACUUCGACAGAAAGAUGUAAGCAAAGCAAACGACGCCUCGUUUCGUUCCAUAUCAUGGAGGCGGCCAUUCUUGCCGUGCUGGUGGCCGUCCUGCUCCUCCUCGCCCGAGGCGGAUCGGCGGCGGCGGGGGCCGGCGCAGCCACCGAGUUCGUGUUCACCGCCGGCUUCGCGCGCCAGAACGUGACGACCAGCGGCGCGGCCGUGGUCACGGCCUCCGGCCUCCUGCAGCUCACCAACGAGACGAACGAGGUGUUCGGGCACGGCUUCUACUCGGCGCCGCUGCGCUUCAAGGACGCCUCCACGGGCGCGCCGCUCUCCUUCUCCACCACCUUCGUGUUCGCCAUCGUGCCGCGGUACCCGGACGCGCACGGCCACGGGAUCGCCUUCGCGCUCGCGCCGUCGCCGGCCGUGGCGGGAGCCGUGGCGGGGAAGAACCUCGGCCUGUUCAACACGUCGGAUAACACGGGGCAGGGGAGGAGCGGGAUCGUCGCCGUCGAGCUCGACACGGCGCGGGACGAUGAGUUCAGGGACAUCGACAAGAACCACGUCGGCAUCGACGUCAACAGCUUGGAGUCCGUGAACUCAACGCCGGCGGCGUACGUCGAUGUCGGCACCGGCAGGCUCGUCAACUUCAGCCUGGUCAGCGGAAACCUCCAGCAGGUGUGGGUCGAGUACGACGGCGCGAGCAUGCGCAUGGAGGUGACGGUGUCGCCGGCCGGCAUGCCCAGGCCGGCUGUCCCGCUCGUGUCGUACACCGUCAACCUCUCGUCGGCCGUGGCCGACGACACUUACGUCGGGUUCUCGGGAGCGAACGGUGCGGCCUCAAGCUCUCACUACGUUCUUGGCUGGAGUUUCCGCCUCGGCGGCGGCCGCGCGCCGGACCUCGACCUCUCCAAACUCCCGCCGCUCCCACCUUCAAGAUCCAAGAAGAUGAUGCCGCUGCUACUGAUCCUCACACUGUUCCUAGUUGCCGUCUUGGUACUACUCCUAGUGUCGGGGGCAGUCGUGGUGCUCGUCAGAAGGCGCCGCCGGAUCGCCGAGGAGGAGGAGGACUGGGAGAUCGAGUACGGCCCUCACCGGAUCCGCUACAAGGACCUGCACGCGGCGACCAGGGGCUUCCGCGACAUCAUCGGCGCCGGCGGCUUCGGCACCGUGUACCACGGCGUGCUCCGGCGGUCGGGCGCCGAGGUCGCCGUCAAGAAGGUGGCCCACGACUCGCGGCAGGGGCUGCGCGAGUUCGUCUCGGAGAUCGCGAGCAUGAGCCGGCUGCGCCACCGCAACCUGGUGCAGCUCCUCGGCUACUGCCGGCGACGGGGCGAGCUGAUGCUCGUCUACGACUACAUGGUCAACGGCAGCCUCGACAAGCACCUGUUCGACGCCGGCAAGCCGGCGGCGCUGAGCUGGGAACGGCGCGCCAAGAUCGUCCGCGACGUCGCCGCCGGGCUGCUGUACCUGCACGAGGGGUGGGAGCAGGUGGUGGUGCACCGCGACAUCAAGUCCGCCAACGUGCUCCUCGACGCCGACAUGAACGGCAGGCUCAGCGACUUCGGCCUGGCGCGGCUGUACGACCACGGCAGCAACCCGCAGACGACGCACGUCAUCGGGACGCUCGGGUACCUCGCGCCGGAGAUGAGCAAGACGGGCAAGGCCACCACGAGCACCGACGUGUUCGCGUUCGGCGCCUUCCUGCUCGAAGUGGCCUGCGGCCGGAGGCCCAUGGAGCGCAACGACGACCUCGACUCGCCGGGGCUCGUCGACCUCGUCCUCGAGCACUGGAAGGCCGGGAGGAUCAUGGACGCCAGGGACCCAAAGAUCGGCGAGGGCGACGAGGCCGAUGUCGAGCUGGUGCUCAAGCUCGGGCUGCUCUGCUCGCACCCGGACCCCCGGUGCCGGCCGAGCAUGAGGCAGGUGGUGCAGAUACUGGAAGGCGCUGCGCCGGUGCCAGAGACGCCGCCGAAGGAUCUAGAAAACAAUAACAGGUUGUUCUAUGGAUACAUCGAGUCGUUCGACGAGUUCGCCACCGUGUUCCCGACGUCCGGGACCACCACCGUCACGACACAGCCGUCUUCUUCGCACUCCAACGACGAGCAGCAGGAGGUGAUCUCCGGCUGAGUGGUGACAUCUUCUCUCUUCACCAAACCACCAAAAAGUUCAGUCAUGUGCCUACUUACGGUGGUUGGAACUUGUAAAGGAAAGCAAGUAGUCAUAGAUUUAGAGUCAAAGAGGUGUUUGAUCUUUUUCGAAGUGAACAUAGGAUAUCGUCAGCCAUUUGUAGGGAUGACAAAAACAAUAAAGUUUGAUGUAUCAAGUCCCAACUGCCGAGGCCGGCUAUACCAAUCAGGUUAAUUAUCAUUUUUGGCUGGUGCAUUUCCAGAAGAAAAGACUCUGCAAAUGACAAGUGCAUGAGAACGGGUGGUGGACCACAAUAACCUUAUAUGGAUUGUAGGUGAAACAGUGAAUCUCUUCAAAUUAACAGUUAAAUAAACCUCAAAAGAAGUAAUGAUAUGGAAACAUCAUUUUUGUGAAGAAUCAGAACCCAGGUGUCGCUUUCGCUGGGCAUCAACUUGCUUACAUGGGAAGAAGAUUGUGGCAUGUGAACCAUAAACUUUAUAAUAGAAGUAUUGAGUUUAGAACAGUGGUCAGUGGACUUGGGAAAGAUACGGGAAGGUAUCUGAAAUCUAAAAUAUCUGAACAACCGAAAUAGACAGCACGUACAAGUGACAUGAGGAAGGUCCUAAUUGGAAAAUUACGACAGGCAAUGCCAGCUUCUAUCCAUAUAACAUUAGCUUACAGGUUAGCUGACUAGUUCAUUCAUCUAUAGCCUCAGCCACAAGCAGAAUCAUCAUCAUCUUCCUGGAUGCCCUGUGCAGCACCUUGGAUCAUUUCAUCAUCAACUCCUGGAAGGAAGUUUAGAACGUCUGAUAUUUAGCUUUUGUCAUUACCUGCAGAUAAAGUCUACAAAAGGAAAUACAUGUGGAUGUACCUUCAAUGAAGGAUUCAAAUUCAUCUUCAUUUGGUUCCCUUGGUGCGAUUCGGCUGACUGAUUGAUUAAUCUCCAUCCAGUUUGGUUGCUCAACUGGGCCAGAGAACAGUGCAGGUGUAUCCACAACCCAGUCAUCAACUAUGUCUACGUAGUCCACUGAGACAGGAUCAAAUGCUUUCACCUUGCGCUGUUGUCUAUGAACAAUUAUUAAUAAGAUCGGUCAAUCAAACCAUGUUUUUUUAGCAACACAUUCAAAUUUAACUCAUAAUGGCAAGACUCUAUACAAAAAGAUGAUUCCAUUACCUUUGCUGCAGCCGUAGGUUGUAUUGUACAAAGGUGAGAUCAUGCAUUCGCUGACGCUCAAAACUAUUCAAUCUUUCAUCAUGAACUUGCUCAAAAGGAAUGUGCGCCCGAUCACAUCCUCUAGCGCUGCAGGUUUGACUAAGAAUACGGACCGCUAGACGUGUUAAAUUUGGGCAAGCUCCUCCAUAUGUAUACCACCAUUCAGCUGUAAGAUAAAAUAACAAUAGUAAAGGCAAAAUGUUAAAUAUCACUUAACAAACUUUACAUUGUGACAACAUCAUUAAAGGGAAGCACAAUUUAACUAGGUUCCAAAUAUUGAAAGAAGGCUAACAAUGUAAAGUUUGUCAGAAAAGUCUCAUUUGGUUAGAUAAAACAAAAUAACCCUACAGAUGUAACUCAAGUUUGCAUGACAAAAAAAAACAUAAUACUAGCGUGUAUUACUAGUUAACGAGAAAUUCUUAAAUACUAACCAGGAGGUAAAGUUCGUCUGGAUCGGAUAGCCAUCUGCCUACGAAAAUCCCCUGCUGUCUCACUCCGGUACAUGUUGAGCUCUCGCUGGAUUUUAUCUUGGAUUUUCACAUCAGAAACCAGCCUUUCUAUGCAAUCUAGCAUUCCUGAGAAGAUUCCAUUUGAUACAUCACCUCGAAUUCCAUCAAAAAAUAGUGGAUUCAGGAAGAAACCAGCUGAAUGAAGUGGCCGUGGUGUUUGGUUGUCCCAUCUCCAGUCGAUGAUAUUCCAAUAAGCCAUGUAGUCGUUCUUACUCACUAGCUCUUUCUUGAUUGCUGCUUUGGCCUGGUACAAUCCAGCAUAAAUGUACCCCAUAGCAGGCCUCUUUGUACUACCAACUAGCUUAAGGAGAUGCACAAGUGGCUCGGUGAUGUGAACAACAGCAGCACAAGAGGACCAAAACUGCAAACUAUUAACAAGAUUGCUUACUUCGAUCCCUCCUUUCUUUGGCAGCAAAAAGUGUAUCCAUUCAUCCGAGUUGACCAUGGCUUGCAAAGCCUCCUUCAGACCGUACAUGUUCUUCAGUGUGACAAAGUUCAUAGAAGCGCGAGUCUCUGCAGGAACUAGCAGAUCCUUCCCAUGCAGAUACUUCUUCAUUAGAUUCAAUGCAAAUGCGCUGUUGUAGAAAAAUCCUGUGAGGGCCUUUGCAUUACUUAUUAUCUCACUGAUUGCCCCUACCUUACUGAAAUCUUCAAGCAUGCCAUCGAUGCACUGGAAAGAGCAUGGAGACCAGAACAAUGUUGGAAAUGUUUCACCUAGCUUUUUUCCUGCAGCUGCAUGGAUCUCAGAGUUGUUUGUGAUUACUUGGACAACUUUUUUCUCGCCAACUUCCUCGACAACACUUUUCAGUAACUCAUACAGUGCAUCUGAAGAUGCGACAAUGCUGGUUGCAUCCACCGAUUUGAGGAACAUAGUGCCUUCUGGGCAAUACACUGAAAAGUUUAUCAAGGUUCUGCCUUUAUCAGUGAUCCACUCAUCAGCCAACACCGAGCAGCCAGUCCUUGUCCAUGACCCCUUGAAGAACUCCAACCGAGACGUCGCAUCAUCCAGUGACUUCUUAAGAAUGUGACCACGAAAGUCAUGGUAUGAGAGCGCCUCCGGCCUCCCUCCUGCCGAUGCAAUAGCCUCAAGCAUGGGCUGGAAGUAGACUGAAUUCACUGCUUCCAAUGGCACACCAACAUCAUACAAGAACCUCCCAACUGCCACAGAAACCUGCUCCUUGUCCAAACCAGCAUGUCCGAAAUGUCCUGAUGAUGGUGUAACUGCGUCGACUGCCAUCACAACCUGAUGAAGAGGAUUGGUCUGAGGAGUAGACGGAACAUGCUGCUGCAGAGUCGGGGGAGUAAGUGGUGGAGUGGAGGCGUUACUCAACAUCUUCCUCUUCUUCUUACUGCUGACACUCCCCCUCAUGGUCUCCGGAAGCGGAGGCCUCUGUUCGUCGAGCGGCACGGGUUCGAAGUCCAGCACCUCGUUGAGCGGGAUCAUGUGGAUGGGGCUGUCGGUGGCCCCACCGCUCGCGGCGGAGGCGGGCGACGCGUCGGUGGGGGCGAAUCGCCUCAUGUCGCCGGGCGGGAGUGCGUUGGCUAGCUUGCGCUGCAUCUUCUUGGCGGCGACAGCGUCGAGGCUGCGCAUCAUGGUGUCCUGGACGUCGCGGGGCACCUUGGGGCAGCAGCAGGCGUUCCCGGGGCGGCGGGCCAGGUGCUCCUUGAAGCGGUGGAUGCCGCCGCCGAGGAAGUGCUUGCCGCAGUAGGCGCACUUGAGGCGCACCCGGCCCUCGGCGCGCACCAUGAGGCAGUGCUUCCACGCCGGGUCGUGCUUCUGCGCGCCGAUCUGCACCACCUCCUCCUCCUCCGCCCCCGCCCCGGCCGCCGCCGCGGCGUCAUCCCCCUCCUGCCUCUCCAUCCGGGCGCGAGCACUGCAUCAGCCAUCACCACCGGGCGUCACGAACGGCGCAAUUGGAUUCGAACGCAAUUCAUCGAGAGUCCUGCUGCUAAUCCCCCAAUUAGCCGAUGGCGCGCGCGCGAAAUGAACCUGUGCGGCCCCGCGCGCGCGAACCGAGCGAACCAGGAGAACCUGAAAGGAGUGGGGGAAAGGGUGGGAGGAGCGGGAUCGAGAGAGAAGAGAGAACUCACCCGGGUUUUUGGGAGGCGAAACGGCCGGGCUCCCCCAAAUCGGCGUCCGCCGGGGCGGGGAGGAAGAAAACCAGUGAGGUGGAGGUGAUUGGGGAUGGUGAGCGACGGGCGAGACGUGGGUGAGGAGCGAGCCGGCCGGGUGGGGUUGGUUGGUUGACCUGGCCGAGAGGGAGGGGGAGAGGGAUCGGGCACCGGCCCAGCCGGUUCUCGCGUGGGUUGGUUCGGGUCAGGUCACAUCAGGUUUGGGCUGAUCGGGGCGAAUGUGCCGGACCGUGGGCCGGCCUGGUUGGUUUGGCCGGAGGAGAGUGCAAAGCACUCGUUGCCCCACCCGUCAAACCGGGCAUCACCGGCCGCGGCGCCGGCCCGGAGAUGCUCGUUUCCCGACUCCCGAGGCACUAGCUGUCGCGCAAUGGGUACGGUGCAAGCUGCAGGGGGCAGAUGGGGACAAGUAAACACCUCACUCCACUCCAUCUCAGUUCUCAGCUGAUGGCAAAGAUGAACUGAGAGCUGAUGGCGAAGAUGAACUGAGAACUGUAGCUAGAUUGAGAGCUGGGGAAAGAGGUCGGGGAGGGGGGAUUUCGUUCCGAAGGCCUUGCUACGAGCUGAUCUUACCAUCACCAUUCAGCAGCACCGAGGUAUGGUUCUCUCGGGUCACAAUGUUUGCAUAUCUUUCUGCAGAUCGAGCUAGGUCUAUAUGUUGGGGAAAAUAAUUAGUUUUCUCUUCCCUUUUUGGCUGGGGAAUGUCAGUGAAAAUCGCAUGGGAAACUUCCGUGAGAUUGUGCCCGUGCGUGUGAGAUUUCGGAAAUAUGUAGGACAAAUCCCGGGCAAAAGGAAGAAGUGGCGUGCUCAAUUUAUUCUUCCCCCAAGUGACUGGUUGAACUCGCUGGAGUUGGUAGCUUUGGUUCGUUAUGUGGACCUGAUAUGAUGUGCCAGUAUCAGGAGGGAAGUGCCUUUGAGGGAUGGGAUCAUGGGAAUGAAUCUUUUUUGUUUUUUUGCCUGCUCCCCUUCUCUCUUCUUCUCUGCUCGCAUUUGGGAGACCUGACGCCUACCAGGAAGCUAGGGGAGUUCAGUUCACGUUGAUUUCUUUGUUUGAGAAUUAGUGUCUUUUUUUGGAAAAAGACACGUAGGUUACCCCCGGUAAAUAAUUAGGCAUUAGAUUAGAAAACGUUAUUUGUCUCAUGAUUUAGAGUUACAAGUACUGUACUUCUCGGACACAUUUCAUGGUACCAAAUUAUAGGUCGACCUAUAAUUUGGAACAGAGGGAGUAGUACGUUAAUUUUAGGUUAUGCAUUCUUAGAUGUAAAGUAUGUGUACCUGUAUUUUGUUAGUUGGAUUUGACCAAUUGGUGUCGAUUCUUAGAUGGAGAAUUUUCAGGGUGUGUAGGUUAAGUGGGUGUUUGGUUCCACCUUGCUAAACUUAGUUGCUAAAGUUUAGCAACUUUUAGCUGCUAAACUGCCAAACACCCUUGCUAAAACUUGCUAAAGUUGAGUUGCUAAAGUUUAGCACUUUAGCAAGUUUUAGCAACCAAAAACUUGUCUCCCCCCUCUUGCGCACCUAUACCCCUCAUUUAUUGCUUGUCUCCCCCCUCCUGCGCACCUUUAAUAAGGGUAGAUAGGUCUUUUUAUAGCUCAUUAAAUGUCUUUUAGCAAGAGUAUCCAAACAGCUUUUGCUAAAGUUUAGCAACUUUUAGCAACUAAAGAUUAGCAAGAGGAACCAAACAUGCCCUAAGAUGGAAAUCAACAACUGUAGGUUUUAAGGACGUGAUUUAUGAAACAUUAAAUGGCUCUAUUGUAAUUAGGAUUUUCGCACUAUAAUAAAUCCCAACAGCUGGCAUCACAGUUUGGAUGGAUUUUAUAUGGGAGGCUGAGAGGUCCUAAUUUUGUGUCUUGAACUAGAUAUGUUGGGCCUAACGAAAUUUAGGGUCUUUCUAUCGAUCGAGAUGGUGUUGGUUUCAGCAGUUUUUUCAGUUACAGUGUUUGAAUUCCCAAAUCAAGGGUAGAAUGGGGAGAUGAUGAAAUGGUAGGCAUGCUGUUUUUCUCUAAACCUUAGGAAGUUUAUUUGUGCCCCCAUGCUGGGUGGGAUACAGGUAGCUCUGGUUUGUUUUUCAUAUGGCUUUCUGCAUAAGCAGGGAAGCAUGUUUCAUCUGUAAAGGAAGGGGAAUGCCACUGGAUGUGGUGAAAAUUUAGAAGGAAUGUACUGAAUGGUGAACGCCUACCAGAUGUCAGAAAAUAUGGGUCAAAUGAAACCUUAUUUAGGAAAUACAUCUCUUACGAGGCUAUAGAUUGUGAAUGAACUGAUACCUUUUUUUUCUGCAGGCAUGUCAAUAACCGAGAGCUUCACGAUAUACCAUGGGGAUAAUUUGUUUACAAAUGGACCUGCGGGGGUGCAGCGGAAUCUGGCCGGCCGCGUCGUGUACAAGAAGCUGCUAGGGCCGCAGUACAUGUCGUUCCAGCAAGUGCGGCGCUGGAUAUUGGAGAUGUUCAACGUGGACGAGGUGAGCUUGUGCUGCGGCACAUCGUGCCUGUAAAGCCCAAGAACCAGGCGCGCGCUUACAACAUGGCGGUUGAUAUAGUAUGGCUUGAUUCCUGGAGGACAUUUCUUGAAGUGUCAUUGCGCCAAGGUGUCUCUUUGGUACUCUAUGUUCAGUGGCAGGCCAAGGCGGCGUCAGGUCCCGUUUGUGAAGGCGCUAUCGGCGAGAAGAACAGCGCCACACCUGCUCUGGCUCCAGCUCCGGCCCCGGCAACUGCCCCUGCGCCCACUCCUGCUCCUGCUCCUGCCCCUGCGCCUGCUCCCGCUCCCGCUCCCACCGCUAAAGAGCCCACCGUGGCCGGUGAACAAGGCGGAAGCUGGGACAGGGAGGACCCGGGCCGACGUCUCUACCGCUGCCCUCUGUUGGAGGUACCUUAUACUAGUUCCUUUUCCCAUGCCAUUAUUUGAAGAAAUUUAUAGAUUAGAGAAGUAGUCAAAUCUACAAAUGACCUCGAUUCAUUCCGCUUCCCAGGAUCCUGGGGGAUUGUGGAUUCACGCAGUGGCUGGACGAGGCCUUCCCUGAAAAGGCGACCAUGCACAUCAACAACCUCCUGAGUAGGGAGGAGUGCCUCGAGCAGCAGGUCGAGAACCUCCAGGAGGAGCUCAACGAGCUCCGUCGCCGGUACGUGACCGGCAGCAGCCAUCGUGACGGGCAAGACAGCGAGACACGCCCACGCCAAGUCCGCAGAAUGAUCUAGGACAACUGAUGGUGUACCCUGCUUCUCCCAGUUUGCAUGAAGUCCUCAAAUGUUACUAGUCAUGCUGUCCGUUUCUUGUUCGUUCAACCAUUUGUUCAGUCAUGUUGUUGCUAGAGCAUGUCGCUCUGAACAGUCUGAACCGUGUUCCAAUGUUAUGCCAUCUGUAAUGUAAAUUACUUGCAUCAACGCAUUUACCAUUUCAGAACAAUGUUGGACGUACUUCUUAUUUUGUCGCUACUUGUAUCGGUUCAAGUAUCAUGUCGAACAACCGUACUGAACCCCAAAUCUUGCACAAGUGACAAUCUGAAAGCUGCAAACGCGUUUGAAUCCAUAAAGGUCUGCAAACAGGCGAGAGUGAUCACUAUCCAUUACCACUCAAGAAUUUCUCAUGUUAUCCCCAUGUCACGGUAAAAAGAAUUUGAAUAUUACCAAUCAGUACAACAUUGUAAAAACUUGGAACACCUACAGCAUGAACAAGCGGAAAAGCACAAUAAGAAGCUAUCACUGAUUGACUAGCAGUAGAAGACUGCGCACAUGGAAAACGGAAUCCAAAACAAAUUGGAAUAGAAAUUGUUUCGCGUGUAGUAUAUAUGACCAACUCUUGUGCGAGGAGCACUGAAAAACUUACAAAAAAAAAAA
rnacentral:lncRNA from 1 species